rnacentral:lncRNA from 1 species
UGUUGCUGGCCAAUCAAGUCUCCCCUCUGCAGACCAGCAGGUAGCAUCACAGCCAAACACAAAGGAAGGACUAACCAGUAACCAUGGUUUGGGUGAGUCGGUUACAAGGUGCUCAAAGACUAGCAAAAUCUACUGCCUACGGAGGGGAACAAGCUACUCUGCGCUACCUAGCCCUUGGUUUGUACUGCAAGGGCUAUAUCAACCACCUAGAGAAGUUGUCGCAGACCACCUGAAGUGCCCCUUCAGGCCAAUAAAACCAAGGUUGUUGUUAGCAUCACACCAGGUGAUGUGAAUGUGCAUAGGAAUUUCACUUUGUUGUGUUGAUGUGUUUCCUGAUCAUGUUCAAGGUCUCCAUAACCUGUGAAAGCAAGAAUACAAUAAGUACCCGACAGAAACAUCAAAAUCAUAAUUUGUAAGGGUGCAAGAAAAUCAUGUUGUCCCGAUGGAUGCCAGCAAUUCCUAGCACACUAGCAUGAUAUGGAGCAAUAGUUACUCCUAGACGCAGGUGCCAGUGGGACCGGCAUGGUGUACGCAUGAACGACACCGGUCCAUGGGUUGUACCCGCCGGCCCACGGAGGAGGCGCCUGGGGCUGCUGCAGCUGACGAGGAGGGCCCGCGGCCUGCGGCUGCUGGUGGCGCGGGAGGGGCGGGGUGCUGCUGCUGCGGGUAGGACGGCGGGUGGUGCUGCUGUGGAGGCGCAGCCGAGGCGGCGGGUGGCGGUGGUGGCCCGCCGUGGGUGGUGCCGGCGGCGAGAGCAGUGUGGAUGGCCCGCGCCUUGACCUGCUUCAUCCGCCGCUCCUCUAGCCGGAGGUAAGCAACGAACUUGGCGAAGAAGAGCUCGAGGACAAGGGUGAGGUUCGCCGCGGUGUUCCCGAAGUCCUUGUUGAGGCCGGCGGUGAGCGUGCCGAGGAGGAUAUCAUCGUCAAUCUUUGCGCCAAUAUCGCGGAGCUCGUCAGAGAGAGUCUUGACAAUAGCGUCGACGAAGGAGUUGUCCUAGUGGCAUCCAAAAAACUCUUGCUACAAAAAAACACGAUGUUGAAGACGAUUGUCGGUGAAGAGCCCGUUCAGGUUGGUCCAAACGGCAUGGGUGUCAUCACCGUCUUGCGUGACCGUCUGAAACAGGUCCGGCGAGAUGGUGAGGAAGAACCAGCGGAUGAGCGUGGCAUCGAUGGUGGACCAGUCAUGGAACUCGGGCACGAGGCUGGAGUCGACGGAGCCGUCCACAUGGUCGAGGAGGUGGUACUCCCGGAACACGAGGGAGAAUUACGUCUUCCACCCGUAGUAUGAGGAGUCCGUCUGGGAGAGACGAACCGAAACCCGCUCGUAGAUGUUGAGGUUGCAGAUAUCGGUGACGUCGGGAGGGUUGGCGUCGGCGAACGGGUUGGAGGGGUUGGAGGAGCCGGUCGAGGUGACGGAUGACAUGGCGGUGGUGUGGUGGUGCGGCUAGGGCUCGGGUUAGGGUUUGGUGGCGGCGGCUAGGAAGAGGUGCAGCCGCAGCGUGGGGCUGGGUUGCGGCGACGGCUAAGGGAAGCGGUGGCGGCGAGUGUGGAUGGCGGCAACAACGCUAGGGUUAGGCGGCUGCGGGUGUCGCGGCGAUGGCAGAAAGCGGUGGCGGCGAGAGCAGNNNNNNNNNNNNNNNNNNNNNNNNNNNNNNNNNNNNNNNNNNNNNNNNNNNNNNNNNNNNNNNNNNNNNNNNNNNNNNNNNNNNNNNNNNNNNNNNNNNNNNNNNNNNNNNNNNNNNNNNNNNNNNNNNNNNNNNNNNNNNNNNNNNNGAGAGCAGCUGGAGGGAGUAGCGCGGCGGGGGGGGGGAGAAGGUAGCGACGACGGCGAUCACGAUGAGAAGGCGUGGUGCAGCGGCAAGGGGGAGAAGGUAGCAGCGGCAGCGAUCGUGAUGAGAAGGCGCGGUGCAGCGGCGGCGGCUGGGGCAGCGGUGGCGCAAAGGAGGCGCGCGGCGGCGGUGGCGGAGCGGAAGCGAGGGUUGUAACCUAAAAAAACCGAUACCAUGUAUGUUGUUGGAAUUGCACGAUGUAUUACUGAGGUGCAAUCGACAUGUAUAUGAAGUACAACGGUGGACCACGACCUCAACUAUACAAGAAAAACUAGGAGGUGGGCCCAAUAUACAAUAUGCACAACGCAUAUACUCAACAGGUUGGAUCGUGCUCGGGUCGCGAAGAGUACGACUACAUCAACCGCGUUGAUAAACGCUUCCGCUUAGCGAUCUACAAGGGUAUGUAGAUGCUCUCCCCCUCUCGUAGCUAUGCAUCUCCAUGGAUAGAUCUUGUGUGUGCAUAGAAAUAUUUUUGUUUUCCAUGCAACGUUCCCCAACACACCUAUGGUGGUGGCACCGGCGCGAGGGCAUCGGCCGAUGCUCAUGGCGGUGGAGCCUCCUCCUUCCCUUGGUUGUUGUCCCUUCUUCUCUUGUGUGGAGUAGCAAUGGAGAUGGGAUGUGGAUGAAUGAGAUGUUCUGUGGAAGAUGGAGAAAGCGAUUAGGGUUGUAGAUGAUAUAUAUGGAGCCUCCCUAGCCUCCUCUCUUGAUGGGCUCCAUCCAAUGCCUCACAAUGACCCAAAUCGUAUCACUAUCUCUUCCUUACGAGCCAAGGAUCCCGUGGGAUUGAACAGGGUAGAAAUUGGGGAAGAAUCCCCUCUGGAAGGGCAACUUCCGGAGUUGCCUACACAUCAAACUACCGCUCAAACAACACGUGUAGUCGUUCGAAACGUCAUCUUUUGAUAUGUCCUCUCCGGUAAAACGACCAUCAAAUCUUCAUACGAACUCGGCAUUUGACGAUCUUGGGCUCGUUUGAUUUGUACGAUUGACGCUGAUCCAUUUCUGGUCUUAGAAUUUGAUUUGGAGCACUUCGGAAAAAUGACUUUUUCCGCCCUUCGAAAUGGCUAAGUCCGACCCCUGGCUGACUCCAUAUCAAUCCCAUCCUUGGUCAUUUCAUCUUGCUUGGUCCUAGGUUGCUCCAAAACACCUGUAGACACAAGAAAACAAGGAAAACUAAUAAUAAUCAAAUAAAACACUAAAUGUGCAAUGCUCACAAUGAUAAGUGCAAAUACCGGUAAUCAUGCAUAACGGCAAAUAUUCAGUUCAAUGGGACAUAGUAUAUGAAGAGAACAUGCAACAGGUUAGCUCUAAAAAGUGUAGAAUCAUGAAGCACCACCUCCACUUGGGCCUUGGUGGCCCAAGUUGCCUUCCACCACUUGGCCUUUUAAGGCCCGUUAAUAUUUAAAUUAAUAUAAAAGCUUUCUAAUUAUUAUUAGACCCUUAUAUAUAUAAUUUAACAUCCCCGGAAACAUUUUCCACCUAUAUAUUAUUUAUCGAUAUUACCCGAUACUCUCCAAAACCCUUUCGGUGACCCCGAAACGCUUCCAGAUCCUCUCGAAACUAUUCCGAAUAUUAAUGAAACAAUUCACAAAUAUGUUCUCAUCACUCAUGUCCUACUAACACUUAGCAGAUCGUGAUUGCCUUAAGAUUGUGACUCCGUAGGUUCGGUAACUCAUAGACAUGAACGAAACCCACUACAAGAAAUACGUCAACUUGUGACCAUCACUAUUGGUCACUGAAUGGUCAUUGUUUUCCAUUUGUGACCUUUUUUGACAAAAAACUAAUGGUCAAAAGCUGGCGGUGGUAAACUGAAAUUAACGACCUUCUUUGUGAUAUGUAAAAGGUCGUUGAUUCUACGACCAAAGUUUUGGUCACUGGUAGCCUCCCCAGGCCAUGUAGGAUCCAGCAUGGCGAGCUAACGUGGAUAAGAUUCAGCCCGGUCCAAUUCGGUGUUCUACAUGGGCCUAGCCCAACAAUUCAGCCUUUUUUAUAUUUUUUUUCUAUCAAUUUUUUGAUCGGCUUCAUGGGCCAAGCCCAACAUUGCAACCUUUUUUAUUGUUGGGUUGUGGCCUUUUUGUCUAAACAAAUUUAGUUUUCCUCUUUUUUCCCAAAAGAAGGGUCCACUAGUUAGACGUGUCCUGGUUGCCAAGUUCUAUUAAAGUGGGACCCUUUUGACAUCAUCAUAUUAUUCAGAUUACAAUUUGACAAUUUGACAGAAAUAAAUAACCAUAUUUAAAUAAGAACAGACACAAAACACAAGUAAUAUUUUAAAUAACAACAGCGAGAAUCAAUCACAAUCACACAGAUAUACUGGGCUCCUUCUGUCAUGACACGGAUAGAAGCUCUACUAGUGAUAAACACAGAUACAGAUACAAUCACAGUCACACAGAUAUAGGGACAAUCACAAUGAGAAUUGACAGUCAGCACAAACUAGGCUCCUGCUCCAGUCAGAUGAAACUGUAUGCAUGACUCACUAGGCGACCAUAGUCAACUAGGCCACCUUCGCUACACUAGAACAACAAUAGAACUAUCAUCAUGCCUUUGGCCGUCGCCCUAUUACAUGAAUCAGAAGAGAAGAAUCAAAACACUGGAGCCAAUAUAUUACGAACAGACUAUUCAGAAAAAGGGCAAGUUCUUUAGAAUGAUAACACAAAUUCAACUAAUACAAUGAUUUUUGUUCCCCAGAUAGAUAAACGAUAUACUCAUUCAUACAAGAAAGGUGACACAGGAAAAUAGAGCACUUUACUCAUAGCAUGCAGAGUAUCAUUAUUAUAUUCAUAUCAGCUUAUUCUUAUGCCUAUAGCAAGGAAAUAAAUCCGACCAAAGAAGCAACAACUCCGUAAAUUAAAACAUCAGGGCUAAAUAAGAAGACUAAUCUCUUUGUGAAAAAUGUAUUGGAUAAUUGGUUUUACAUAUACAAUCCCUUGCAUUUAGGGAGAACUUGAUGCACAGUGUGCACAAAACUUGGGAGAGCAACUAGAGAAAAUACAUAGUUGGUGCUAGAGGGAGUGGUGAAUUACCUCAAUGGCAUACUUGAUGGGUGAUGCUGGUCCUUCUCAAGGAAGUAGUUGUCGUCCACAGUUAAGAAGUUCAUACAUUUGUCUACAACAAUCAGUAAACCAGCAAACCAGAAAUCAGAACGAAUGCUUCAAUCUCAUAAGAAGUUUAAAAAAGACUAUAGCAGGACCUAAUUAAUGCUGCAAAUCAUUGUCCCCUACAUUUUAUAGCUAGGAUCGGACCAUUGCCAGGUAUGCUUGAAUGCUAAGAUCAGGUCCUGGAUCUGGCACUAGAAUGUGUAUGGCAUUAAAAAACAAGGCCAUAUGGACCAAUGCAUCAUAAUUAUCAGUUUUAAACACUACAGGACCAAAAAGUAGGUGAUGCUUCAAAUUUCAAAACUCAAACAUUCAUCAUUAAUAGUAGCAAUUUAAUCUUACUAAACAUAGGGGCAUGUACAAGAUGAGAGCACACUACAGCCAGAACUUGCAGCCAGACGUUUCUAGAAUUUUAUACACAACAGCAGUAGAUUACUAUAUGAACAUAAAAAAAGAACCCAUAACUAACAAUACCAGAACUUUAUGCAUCAUGAAUGAAGAUACCAAAAUAGGAUCCUUUGCUUUACUAGUGUGUGGAGGAAAAGCAAAAGCAGCAGCACAUGCUUUUCCUAUUUGCUUUGCUUUCCUAUUAGCAUCUCCGGUCAAUCAAAAAGGAUGCAACAAGUGAUUACAUUAACCCCGAUUCAAAUAUUUUAAGUACUGGACAAUCAUUUCAUGCAACCAUUCAUAAACAUACUACUACAAGGGAACUAUAACUUUUAUUUUAAAGCAUAAUGUUUAAGUAUGUAAACUUUGCUCCAAAGUCCCUACACACUACUACUAAACUACUGUAUGUGUGUAGUACUAUGUCAGUAAGCAGCAGAGGAGAUUUAAAAGGAAGGACCAUGUGUGUGUGUGUAGAAAACACACAAAAGAAACACUGAAUAUGAUCUAUUUAGUCGGACCGGUUCAGUUACGGACAACUCUGGAAAACAUGUACUACUAUAUGCUUCUCUGCCGCAAGUGUCGAGAUUAUCUGUGAGAUUUUGGUGAACACCUUUUUAACUAGGCAGACAUUGUAUUUUUUACAGUACAAAAUCCUAUCUUCUUUAUAUUACAUGUAGCUGUCGUCCAUUGCUCCAUCACUGCUGUGGAGUUGCCAGCACGAAACAGAGCAAACAUAUAUUCACAUUUCAGAGGUCCGGCCAAUGUUAAAAUCAGGGGUGAAACGGUACCAAAAGUAGACAUGGAAUAUGGUCCAGUCGAUCAACCAUACUUUUAAAAGAUUACUUAUUAUACACUACUGGGCCCACGUCGUGAGGACGGAGGCGAUGGAGGUGCCGACGGUGAAGACGACGCGGUGGCUCUCGAACACUUCAUGCACGCACGCACCGCAUCAGGGGGGUCAAAACCAGAUCACGAGAGGGCAUCAGGGAUUAGGUUUGAUUUGAUCUGGGCAGGGCAGGGCUGACCUUGGUGGAGAAGAAGGUGUUGCGUACGGCGGCCCAGCAGUUCGUCGCCCGCUGCCAGACAUUGGGCAGUGACAACACCGCGUCGGCGACCACCGCCGCCACCACCAUCAGCAGCAGUGGCAACCUCUAUAGAUCGGACAUAAAACAAACCAAGGAGGAAUCAAAGGGAGGCAGAGAAGACAAGGGAGGGAUUCAUGCCUCAUAGUUUUGACUACAGCUGCCUCAUAGUUUGUUCAAAUGAUUUCACAUUUCACACAAGUUUUCAUCAUGGAAUUACAAACAAUGUUGUCAAAGGGAUUUUCAUUUUAUUUUCACGAAAAACCAAUUUUUCAUUUUUUGAGUGCACAAAAUGAGUUUCUUGUGAAGGGCUUACCAAAUAUUUGUUGCAAAAUUGGACCAAAUCAUUUUUAUAAAAUAUUAGGCCAUAUUUAAUGUACAAUUGACUAAAUUGUUGGGGGUAAAAUGUUUUGGAUCCACCUCUCGUGAAAAAGACAAAUUUUCGUCGAUUUAGUAGGAAGCGGGUCAAAUUUGAACUGCAGCUGCCUCAUAGUUUGCUAUUUAUUUUUCCCAAAAAUCAUUUUUAGGUACAAAAGUAUCUAUUUAAUCAUAUAAACACCAAAAGUUUUCCAAGAUUCAACCACUAGCUAGGAACGGUCAUGCCCAUCGUUUUGACCGCAUUUUGAAACGGGCAUGAAAAAUUCAAAAAAAUCAAAAAAUUGGGAAACCAUCGCAUUGUGUCAUUAUAUGUGGCCAAGUUCACAAGAAAAAUAAUAAACUUGUAAUACGACAAUUAUUUUUAAAAAGUAUUCUCAUAAACGAGCUAUCACGUGUGGACAUCAAUGGCUUUCAAGCCAAAUGAUCAAUCUUAUGGCCACAUUCAUGGCAUAGUUUGUUCAAAUGAUCUCAUAUUGUGCACAAGGGUGCAUAUUGAAAUGGCAAACAAUGUUGCCUAAGGAAGUUUUCAUUUUCUUUGGACGAAAAAAUCAUUUUCCAUUUUUCGAGCACCCAAAAUGAGUUUUUUUUGUGAAGAACCUACAAAAUAAUUGUUGCAAAAUUGGACCAAAUCAAUUUUAUAAAAUACUAGGCCAUAUUUAAUGCAUAAUUGACCAAAUGGUUGGGUGUCAAAAGCUUUUAUCCACCUCUCGUGAAAUAAAAAUUUCUGCCGAUUCAGUAGGAAGCAGGUCAAAUUUGAACUGCAGCUGCCUCAUAGUUUGUGACAGCCUGGUAUUUGCCUUCUCUCUUUUUACGGACUUGGUUUGCAUUUGCCUUGGUUUUAAGUUUUUAGAAUCAAUUCAAAUGGACUUGUCACUUGGGCAUGCCCUUGACUUUCAUCCAAGUGACCCAUCUGCAUCUCAUCCAACUCCAUUUCUUUCUAAAACCCUAGAAUGGCCCAUUGAAUAUUUUUCAUAAGUGAAAAUAUUCAUUUUCUUUAUGAAACCUCAUUUCAGAAAUUAGGGCUCCAAAGCAACCCCAAUUUUUAUAGCUCCAAAAAUCCUGAGAUAAUUCCUAGAUUUUCUCUAAACCUUGGCCUACCUCCCUGAGUAAAAAUAUUGCCUGACUUUUUGUAAUAUUUUUGCUACAGAAAAUAUUUUCCUUUCUGGCCCAAAUAUGCACUUUGUACAGCACGUGCAUUUUUCCUUAAUCUUUUGGAGCUGAUCUUUCUUUAGCUUAAACACCCUCCUAAGAAACCCUUAACCUCAGGAGAUCAGCCCUAAUGGCCUUCUAGAAGCUAGCCAAACUUGGCGACCAAGUUUCUGUCCAGAAACUCGCCAGCAAGCUUGAGUCACUUCUGGUCGACCUGGGUUUGAGUUUUCACCUUUCUUAGACCUAGAAUUGGAUGAACUUUAGUCCAGACAAGGUUUGGCAGCGUUUGGGCGUCGUUUUGGCAAUGCCAGGGCGGUGACCGCAUGUGGACAUGGGGCCUGGCAUGCGUUCGACGCGCUCUGCGUCGCGCCAGUGCCUCUGUUCGGCGCGUGCCCGAGCCAGAGCACGCCGACGACUGUCGCACCGCGCCAUCCCCUUCGUAUUAUCACCCUUGACCUCUAACUGGCACUCGCCGACGCCGAAGACGCCACAGCGAGCACGAGCCUGUUGCAGCCAAGAGCCACAGUGCACCCGUGCCCCUGUCGUCUUCUCCCCCUCCUCCCUGUGCUCGUCCGCGAGCGUGGACAGCCUCCGCGUGAUCGCUGAGCUUCUCGCGCCCUUGCUGAUGCACCUCGUUGCCUCUAGCCAUCUUCCAGAGAACUCCGGCGGCGACAUGUACCCCCUUCCCCCUCCGGCUAUAAAUUGAGCCCUCCCCUCCGUUCCAGAGCAACCCACAACACCAUCCAACCUCCACACACACGCAGCCCGGCCGGGCAGGCCUCUGGCCGCCGUGCCCGACCUGAGCUCGCCGGCAGCACCCGUAGCUCAGCCACCCCAUCCCCGACCUCCUGGAGCCCAACCAACCACCUAGGCGCGUCCUUGGAGCCCCUUUGGUGCUGUCCCGAAGGUGCAGAGCCCCUAGAACAGCCCCUCACUGUCGCCUUCUUCCUCUCCGGCAAUACCCGACCGCCGCCGCCGCUUGCGAGGUUGAUUGCGAGCAGCUCCGGCCGUCUCUCGUCAUGCCACAGGUACAGGCAGGUGCGCCGUAGCUGAUGAGGAUACAGACCUGGGGUAGGGUCAUAGGCCUGAGCUAUACGCCCUACCCAAGGUCACUACCCUAGAAGAUAAGAAGUUUAAGAGGCAACGAAGAACCCCCAGUCAAAGAUGUCGAGUGCAAUCCACUCGACCAGUCAUAUCACUCGAGCAUCCCCCUGCCUGUUGUCACUCGACCAUACGAGGAAUCACUCGACCUACUGAAGGCCAGGAGUCACUCAACACAGCAACGGUCAGACAUUCACUCUGUAGUCUUUAAGAUCAUUAAUAACACUUAAGGCUGGCGUUAUCAGUAACGCCCCUACUUUAUGUACAUUAAGUCCCUUGUAACGGAGGACGGCUGGGGUCCUAGCGCACUCUAUAUAAGCCACUCCCCUCCUCUGAGACAAGGGUUCGCACCACCUGUAACAUCACACACAUAUAAUCCAGUCGACCACCUCCGGGCACCGAGACGUAGGGCUAUGACUUCCUCCGCGAAGGGCCUGAACUCGUAAAUCAUGUGUGUACACCUUCACCAUAGUUGGGAUCUUGCCUCUCCAUACCUACCCCCCUUUCUACUGUCAGUCUUAGAACCACGACAGUUGCGCCCACCUUGGGGCAGGUGUCUUAGCGACUUGUUGGUGAAGUUGCGAUUUUUUUCGAUCCCCAUCAUCAUGGUUUCCGGCGGUGGAUUGGCUGAGGGCCGCGAGAUCCGUCUCCGCUUGGCUUCAGGAAGCUCCCCUUGACGUCGAGGUGCUCCCUGCCCGAGGGGUGACGCACUUUCGCGCAUGCGUUCGUGGCGUCCUUCUCCGGCAGCCGUCGACCCAAUAUCGGUCGGCUCCGAUUGUGUCUUCUCUCCUCGCUGUUCGCCGCCGCAAGCGAUCCGGUCGGUCGCGGCUUCAGCGGUUGGUGAAACAUGCAGUGGCUCAACAUUCGGCCACCCAUCAAGUCAUGGCAAUAGAGCCCGACAAAACUCUCCACGGCAUGUUCGAUCUGUCGAUUGGCUCCGUCAAGACCGCAUCCGAGUGUGAUAGCAGUGACCCUGCGGCUGAAGUCUUGAUGGUCGAUGGACCGCGUAGUCCGCCUGGUUUCCGCCGUGAAGACGACGGGGAUGGUGGCGGCGAUCCGUCGCACGUCCAUGAGGAGUACCAUCCUGAACCCCUCUCUUCUCAGCAGAGAGAAGAACUUCGUCGCCGCAACAUGGAUGCACUCCACACACCCAUCAUUGGAGAAACCCCCGAGGCUCGGGCCUUGGAAGAGGUGCGCUUGGCUAAUUUGGCUGAGCACACUCGACUAGAGAACCUCCAGCGCGCUCUCAACGAGCGCGCUCGGGAGUGGAUUGAUACGUCUCCAACGUAUCUAUAAUUUUUGAUUGUUCCAUCCUAUUAUAUUACCCCUUUUGGAUGUUUAUGGGCUUUAUUUUACACAUUUAUAUCAUUUUUGGGACUAACCUACUAACCGGAGGCCCAGCCCAUAUUGCUGUUUUUUUGCCUAUUUCAGUAUUUCGAAGAAAAGGAAUAUCAAAUGGAGUCCAAACGGAAUGAAACCUUCGGGAGCGUUAUUUUUGGAACAGAUCUGAUCCGGAGAGCUUGGAGUGCAAGUCAAGAAGCCUCCGAGGGCCCCACGAGAUAGGAGGGCGCCCCCUGUAGGGUGCGCCCCCUUGUCUCGUGGGCCCUUCGGGGGGCCACUGACGUACUUCUUCCUCCUAUAUAUACCUACGGACCCCGAAAACAUCCAGGAGCACCACGAAACACAAUUUCCACCGCCGUAACCUUCUGUAUCCGCGAGAUCCCAUCUUGGAGCCCUUGCCGGCACUCUGCCAGAGGGGGAAGCAACCACGGAGGGCCUCUACAUCAAUAUCCUUGCCCCUCCGAUGAGCUGUGAGUAGUUUACCACAGACCUACGGGUCCAUAGUUAUUAGCUAGAUGGCUUCUUCUCUCUUUUUGGAUCUCAAUACAAUGUUCUCCCCCUCUCUUGUGGAUAUCUAUUCGAUGUAAACUCUUUUUGCGGUGUGUUUGUCGAGAUCCGAUGAAUUGUGGGUUUAUGAUCAAGUUUAUCUAUGAAUAAUACUUGAAUCUUCUCUGAAUUCUUUUAUGUAUGAUUGAGUUAUCUUUGCAAGUCUCUUCGAAUUAUCAGUUUGGUUUGGCCUACUAGAUUGAUCUUUCUUGCCAUGGGAGAAGUGCUUAGCUUUGGGUUCAAUCUUGCGGUGUUCUUACCCAGUGACAGAAAGGGUUGCAAGACACGUAUUGUAUUGUUGCCAUCGAGGAUAACAAGAUGGGGUUUAUAUCAUAUUGCAUGUGUUUAUCCCUCUACAUCAUGUCAUCUUGCUUAAUGCGUUACUCCGUUCUUAUGAACUUAAUACUCUAGAUGCAUGCUGGAUAGCGGUUGAUGUGUGGAGUAAUAGUAGUAGAUGCAGGCAGGAGUCGAUCUACUUGUUAUGGACGUGAUGCCUAUAUACAUGAUCAUGCCUAGAUAAUCUCAUAACUAUGCGCUUUUCUAUAAAUUGCUCGACAGUAAUUUGUUCACCCACCAUAAUACUUAUGCUUUCUUGAGAGAAGCCUCUAGUGAAACCUAUGGCCCCCGGGUCUAUCUCUUAUCAUAUUUGCUUUCCAUCUACUUUAUUUGCAUCUUUACUUUUUGCAUCUAUAUUACAAAAUACCAAAAAUAUAUUUAUCUUAUCAUACUAUCUUUAUUAGAUCUGACUUUCGCAAGUGGUCAUGAAGGGUUGACAACCCCUUUAUUGCGUUGGUUGCGAGUUCUCAGUUUGUUUGUGUAGUUGCGUGGGACUUUUGAGGAGCCUCCUACUGGAUUGAUACCUUGGUUCUCAAAUACACUUUGCUGCAUCACCCUCUCCUCUUCGAGGAAAACCAACGCAAGCUCAAGACGUAGCAAGAAGGAUUUCUGGCGCCGUUGUCGGGGAGGUCUUUGCUCAAGUCAAGACAUACCAUGUACCCAUCACAAACCCAUCUACCUCGCAUUUACAUUAUUUGCCAUUUGCCUCUCGUUUUCCUCUCCCCCACUUCACCCUUGCCGUUUUAUUCACCCUCUCUUUCCCAAUCUCCUCUUUUUUCGCUUGCCGUUUUUCUAUUUGCUUGUGUGUUGGAUUACUUGUUGCCAUGGCACAAGAUAAUACCAAGUUGUGUGACUUCUCGAAUACCAAUAAUAAUGAUUUCCUUAGUACUCCGAUUGCUCCUCUUAAUGAUGUUGAGUCUUGUGAAAUCAAUACCGCUUUGCUGAAUCUUGUUAUGAAAGAUCAAUUCGCUGGCCUUCCUAGUGAAGAUGCCGCUACUCAUCUAAACAAUUUUGUUGAUUUGUGUGAUAUGCAAAAGAAGAAAGAUGCGAAUAAUGAUAUUGUUAAAUUGAAGUUAUUUCCGUUUUCACUUAGAGAUCAUGCUAAAGUUUGGUUUUCGUCUUUGCCUAAAAACAGUAUUGAUUCUUGGAACAAGUGCAAAGAUGCUUUUAUCUCUAAGUAUUUUCCUCCCGAUAAGAUCAUCACUCUUAGGAACAAUAUUAUGAAUUUUAAAUAACUUGAUCAUGAGCAUGUUGCCCAAUCUUGGGAAAGAAUGAAAUUGAUCCUUCGUAAUUGCCCUACUCAUGGUUUAAAUUUAUGGAUGAUCAUACAAAAUUUUUAUGCCGGUUCGAACUUUUCUUCUAGAAAUCUCUUAGAUUCGGCCGCGGGAGGCACGUUUAUGAAAUUACGUUAGGAGAUGUUACAAAAUUGCUUGAUAAUAUUAUGGCUAAUUAUUCUCAGUGGCACACCGAAAGAUCUUCUAGUAAAAAAGUGCAUGCUAUAGAAGAAAUCAAUGUUUUGAGUGGAAAGAUGGAUGAACUUAUGAAGAUGUUUGCUACUAAAAAUACUCCUCUUGAUCCCAAUGAUAUGCCUUUGUCUUCCUUUAUUGAGAAUAAUAAUGAAUCUAUGGAUGUGAAUUUUGUUGGUAGGAAUAGUUUUGGAAAAAAUGCUUAUAGAGGAAAUUUAAAUGCUAGACCAUUCCCUAGUAAUCCUUCUAAUAAUUAUGGAAAUUCCUACAAUAAUUCUUAUGGUAAUUUUAAUAAGUUGCCCUUUGAUUUUGAGAAUAGUGUGAAAGAGUUUAUGAUUUCUCAAAAGAAUUUUAAUGCUUUGCUUGAAGAAAAAUUGCUCAAAGUUGAUGAUUUGGCUAGGAACGUUGAUAGACUUUCGCUUGAUGUUAAUUCUCUUAAACUUGGAUCUUCUUCUCCUAAGCAUGAUAUCAAUGAGUCUCUCAAAGUAAUGAGAAUUUCCAUUGACAAGUGCAAGGAAAGAACCGCUAGAUUGCGUGCUAAAAAAGAAAGCUUUAUAAAAGUGUGUUCCUCUAGUCUCCAUGAAAAUAAUGAUGAGGAUCCUAAAUUUAUUGAUGUGUCUCCGAUUAGAUCUAUGUUUUGCAAUAUGAAUUUUGAUGAUUAUGGGAGUGAUGAUGAAUCAACUUUGCCUAGAAGGCGUCCCAAAAAUUCGGAGUCUUUAGAUCUUGAUGCUAAAAUUGGUAAAAGUGAGAUUGGAGAAUCCUCUACUUCUAAUGAUAUUGAACUUACUAUCUCAGAUUUUAAGGAAUUUGAUUAUGAUAAUUGCUCUUUAAAAGGUUGUAUUUCCUUGUUGCAAUCCGUUGUUAAUUCUCCUCACGCUUAUAGUCAAAAUAAAGCUUUUACCAAACAUAUUGUUGAUGCCUUGAUGCAAUCUUAUGAUGAAAAACUUAAUUUGGAAGUUUCUAUACCUAGAAAACUUAAUGAUGAGUGGGAACCUACUAUAAAGAUUAGAAUUAAAGAUUAUGAGUGUUUUGCUUUGUGUGAUUGGGUGCUAGUGUUUCCACGAUUCCGAAAACAUUAUGUGAUAUUCUAGGUUUCCAUGAUCUUGAUGAUUGCUCUUUAAAUUUGCACCUUGCGGACUCCACCAUUAAAAAGCCUAUGAGAAGGAUCAAUGAUGUUCUUAUCAUUGCAAAUAGAAAUUUGGUGCCCAUAGAUUUUAUCGUUCUUGAUAUAGAUUGCAAUCUUUCUUGCCCUAUUAUUCUUGGUAGACCUUUCCUUAGAACGAUUGGUGCGAUUAUUGAUAUGAAGGAAGGGAACAUUAGAUUUCAAUUUCCAUUAAAUAAAAGCAUGGAGCACUUUCCAAGAAAGAAAGUCAAAUUACCUUAUGAAUCUAUCAUGCGUGCUACUUAUUAAUUUAGUGCCAAAGAUGGCACUCGUUAGAUCUAUCUUUGCUUUUAUGCCUAGCUAGGGGCGCUAAACAAUACCGCUAGUUGGGAGGCAACCCAAUUUUUCUUUAUGUUUUUUGUUUUUGCUCCUGUUUAGUAAUAAAUCUUGCAUCUACCUUCUGUAUAAGAUGUUUUUUAUCUUUUAAUUAGUGUUUGUGCCAAUAGAACCUAUAGGAUAACCUACGAUGAUAGUUGAUUUGAUUCUGCUGAAAAGCAGAAACUUUGCACGCACGAAUAUAAUUUUGUUAAAUCACAGGAACGUGCUUUGGCGUUGAUUCUUUUUUCUGCUGUUCAAUAAACAAAUUGUCCAGGACUUACUAUUUUUGUAGGAUUUUUAGAGUUCCAGAAGUUUGCGUUAGUUACAGAUUGCUACAGACUGUUCUGUUUUUGACAGAUUCUGUUUUUCGUGUGUUGUUUGCUUAUUUCAAUGCAUCUAUGGCUAGUAAAUUAGUUUAUAAACCAUGAAGAAGUUGGAAUACAGUAGGUUUAACACCAAUAUAAAUAAAGAAUGAGUUCAUUGCAGUACCUUAUGUGGUGGUUUUGUUUUCUUUCACUAACGGAGCUUAUAAGAUUUCCUGUUGAGUUUUGUGUUGUGAAGUUUUCAAGUUUUGGGUAAAGCUUUUAUGGACUAGAAUAAAGGGUGGCAAGAGCCUAAGCUUGGGGAUGCCCAUGGAAACCCAAGAUAUUCAAGAAUAGCCAAAAGCCUAAGAUUGGGGAUGCCCCGGGAAGGCAUCCCCUCUUUCGUCUUUGUUCAUUGGUAACUUUACUUGGAGCUAUAUUUUUAUUCGCCACAUGAUAUGUGUUUUGCUUGGAGCGUCGUGUAUUAUAUUAGUCUUUGCUUUUUAGUUUACCACAAUCAUCCUUUCUGUACACACCUUUUGGUAGAAGCCUAUUUGAUUAGAAUUUGCUAGAAUACUCUAUGUGCUUCACUUAUAUCUUUUGAGCUUGAUAGUUUUUGCUCUAGUGCUUCACUUAUAUCUUUUAGAGCACGGUGGUGUCUUAAUUUUGAAGAAAUUGCUAGUCUCUCAUGCUUCACUUAUAUCAUUUUGAGAGUCUUUUAGAACAGCAUGGUAUUUGCUAUGAUCAUAAAGUUGGUCCUAGAAUGAUGAGCAUCCAAGUUGGGUAUAAUAAAAACUAUCAUAGAAAGUGAAUUGGAUGCUAUGAUCAAUUUGAUGCUUGAUAAUUGUUUUGAGAUAUGGAGGUAGUGAUAUUAAAGUCAUGCUAGUUGGAUGAUUAUGAAUUUAAAUAAUUCUUGUGUUGAAGUUUGUGAUUCCCGUAGCAUGCACGUAUGGUGAACCGCUUUUUGAUGAAGUUGGAGCACAAUUUUAUUUAUUGAUUGUCUUCCUUAUGAGUGGCGGUCGGGGACGAGCGAUGGUCUUUUCCUACCAAUCUAUCCCCCUAGGAGCAUGCAUGUAGUACUUUGGUUUUUGAUGACUUCUAAGUUUUUGCAACAAGUAUAUGAGUUCUUUUGAUUAAUGUUGAGUCCAUGGAUUAUACGCACUCUUUCACCCUUCCACCAUUGCUAGCCUCUCUUGUACCGCGCAACUUUCGCCGGUACCAUACACCCACCAUUUACCUUCCUCAAAACAGCCACCAUACCUACCUAUUAUGGCAUUUCCAUAGCCAUUCCGAGAUAUAUUGCCAUGCAACUUUCCACUGUUCCGUUCAUAUGACACACAUUACUUUUGUCAUAUUGCUUUUUGCAUGAUCAUGUAGUUGACAUUGUAUUUGUGGCAAGGCCACCUUCAUAAUUUUCAUACAUGUCGCUCUUGAUUCAUUGCAUAUCCCGGUACACCGCCGGAGGCAUUCAUAUAGAGUCAUAUCUUGUUCUAGCUUUGAGUUGUAAAUCCAUAAAAGUGUGAUGAUCUUCAUUAUUAGAGCAUUGUCCUAGUGAGGAAAGGAUGAUGAAGACUAUGAUUCCCCCACAAGUCGGGAUGAUACUUCGAACUUUACAAAAAGAAAAAAAAUAGAAAAAGAAAAAAAAGAAAAGAAAAAUAGAAAGGCCAAAAAAGAAAAAAAGAAGGCCAAAGAAAAAAAAAGAGAAAGAAAAGAAAAAAAGAAAGAAAAAAAAUAAAAUGAGUGAAAAAGAGAGAAGGGACAAUGCUACUAUCUCUUUUUCCACACUUGUGCUUCAAAAUAGCACCAUGAUCUUCAUGAUAGAGAGUCUCAUAUGUUGUUACUUUCAUAUACUAGUGGGAAUUUUUCAUUAUAGAACUUGGCUUGUAUAUUCCAAUGAUGGGCUUCCUCAAAAGUGCCCUAGGUCUUCCUGAGCGAGCAAGUUGGAUGCACCCCACUUAGUUUCUUUUAUUGAGCUUUCAUAUAUUUAUAGCUCUAGUGCAUCCGUUGCAUGGCAAUCCCUACUCACUCACAUUGAUAUCUAUUAAUGGGCAUCUCCAUAGCCCGUUGAUACACCUAGUUGAUGUGAGACUAUCUUCUCCUUUUUGUCUUCUCCACAACCACCAUUCUAUUCCACAUAUAGUGCUAUGUCCAUGGCUCACGCUCAUGUAUUGCGUGAAAGUUGAAAAAGUUUGAGAUUAUUAAAGUAUUAAACAAUUGCUUGGCUUGUCAUCGGGGUUGUGCAUGAUUAAAUACUUUGUGUGAUGAAAAUAGAGCAUAGCCAGACUAUAUGAUUUUGUAGGGAUAACUUUCUUUAGCCAUGUUAUUUUGAGAAGACAUGAUUACUUUGAUUAGUAUGCUUGAAGUAUUACUAUUUCUUAUGUCAAUAUGAACUUUUAUUUUGUAUUCAUUUGGAUCUGAACAUUCAUGCCACAAGAAAGAAAAUUACAUUAUGAAUUAUGCUAGGUAGCAUUCCACAUCAAAAAUUUCAUUUUUAUCAUUUACCUACUCAAGGACGAGCAGGAAUUAAGCUUGGGGAUGCUUGAUAUGUCUCCAACGUAUCUAUAAUUUUUGAUUGUUCCAUGCUAUUAUAUUACCCCUUUUGGAUGUUUAUGGGCUUUAUUUUACACAUUUAUAUCAUUUUUGGGACUAACCUACUAACCGGAGGCCCAGCCCAUAUUGCUGUUUUUUUUGCCUAUUUCAGUAUUUCGAAGAAAAGGAAUAUCAAACGGAGUCCAAACAGAAUGAAACCUUCGGGAGCGUUAUUUUUGGAACAAAUCUGAUCCGGAGAGCUUGGAGUGCAAGUCAAGAAUCCUCCAAGGGCCCCACGAGAUAGGAGGGCGCCCCCCUGUAGGGUGCGCCCCCCUGUCUCGUGGGCCCCUCGGGCGGCCACCAACGUACUUCUUCCUCCUAUAUAUACUACAGACCCUGAAAACAUCCAAGAGCACCACGAAACACAAUUUCCACCGCCGUAACCUUCUGUAUCCGUGAGAUCCCAUCUUGGAGCCCUUGCCGGCACUCUGCCGGAGGGAGAAGCAACCAUGGAGGGCCUCUACAUCAACAUCCUUGCCCCUCCGAUGAGUUGUGAGUAGUUUACCACAGACCUAUGGGUCCAUAGUUAUUAGUUAGAUGGCUUCUUCUCUCUUUUUGGAUCUCAAUACAAUGUUCUCCCCCUCUCUUGUGGAGAUCUAUUCGAUGUAAACUCUUUUUGCGGUGUGUUUGUCGAGAUCCGAUGAAUUGUGGGUUUAUGAUCAAGUUUAUCUAUGAAUAAUAUUUGAAUCUUCUCUGAAUUCUUUUAUGUAUGAUUGAGUUAUCUUUGGAAGUCUCUUCGAAUUAUCAGUUUGGUUUGGCCUACUAGAUUGAUCUUUCUUGCCAUGGGAGAAGUGCUUAGCUUUGGGUUCAAUCUUGCGGUGUUCUUACCCAAUGACAGAAAGGGUUGCAAGACACGUAUUGUAUUGUUGCCAUCGAGGAUAACAAGAUGGGGUUUAUGUCAUAUUGCAUGUGUUUAUCCCUCUACAUCAUGUCAUCUUGCUUAAUGCGUUACUCCGUUCUUAUGAACUUAAUACUCUAGAUGUAUGCUGGAUAGCGGUCAAUGUGUGGAGUAAUAGUAGUUGAUGCAGGCAGGAGUCGGUCUACUUAUUAUGGACGUGAUGCCUAUAUACAUGAUCAUGCCUAGAUAAUCUCAUAACUAUGCGCUUUUCUAUCAAUUGCUUGAUAGUAAUUUGUUCACCCACCGUAAUACUUAUGCUUUCUUGAGAGAAGCCUCUAGUGAAACCUAUGGCCCCCGGGUCUAUCUCUUAUCAUAUUUGCUUUCCAUCUACUUUAUUUGCAUCUUUACUUUUUUCAUCUAUAUUACAAAAUACCAAAAAUAUAUUUAUCUUAUCAUACUAUCUUUAUUAGAUCUGACUUUCGCAAGUGGCCGUGAAGGGUUGACAACCCCUUUAUUGCGUUGGUUGCGAGUUCUUAGUUUGUUUGUGUAGGUGUGUGGGACUUUUGAGGAGCUUCCUACUGGAUUGAUACCUUGGUUCUCAAAACUGAGGGAAAUACUUAUGCUACACUUUGCUGCAUCACCCUCUCCUCUUCGAGGAAAACCAACGCAAGCUCCAGACAUAGCACAAAUCCCUGAGUCCAGUCGACGAUAGCUUUUUUCCUGCCUCCACCUAAGGUAUACCGCACUUAGAUUCAAAAUCUCACAGCCGCGGCCCGGAUAGCAGAGUCAAUUCAACCUUCCCAGUCGGAGGCUGGCAGAGGAUUGAUGCAGAUCCGGGCCUUACUUCGGGCAGCAGGAGAACAGAACACAACAGCGUCUCAGUCGCGGAAUAGGAUUCAUAGCAGAUCUGUGGUAGCGGAUACAGUUCAGUCAGCCUAGAGCCCAAGAUCGCCCCUGCGGCGUGAAGGCCGUGGGUAGUAUGAUCACCGACUCGACCACGACAAUCGUCGUCGAGUACCCACACCUCCUCCGAGGAGUGCAUCAUAUGUGCCUCGGUAGUACGAUGACAGACGCCGUCACAGUGGCGAGCGCAGAGCACCAGUCGACCCAAGAGAGCCAGGUUUUGAUGCAAGAUCUAUCCUCGUUCAAGGUCUAGUCGACCGGAACAGAGCACAUAGAGAAGACCCUGGUAGAGAUCAUCCGGCUGGCAGCAGAGUUCAUGUUUCGGGCCCAGAGUGUUUCAGUAGAGCCAUCAGGGCUGCAGUGAUUCCUCCCAACUUCAGGUUGGCGACUGGAGUCAGCAAGUUCACUGGAGAGUCCAAGCCUGAAACUUGGCUUGAGGAUUACCGAGUGGCUGUGCAGAUUGGUGGCGGGAAUGAUGAAGUGGCAAUGAAGCAUCUUCCUCUGAUGUUAGAAGGGUCAGCCAGAGCAUGGUUGACUCAGUUAGCCCCAGGCAGUAUAUACAGUUGGGAAGAGCUUGCUCGAGUGUUCGUCAGAACUUUUGAGGGCACUUGCAAGCGGCCAGCAGGGUUGACAGAGUUGCAUCAUUGUGUGCAGAAACCGAGUGAGACUCUAAGGGAUUUCAUUCAGAGGUGGACCACUUUGCAUGUUACAUCCCUAGCUUUGGUAUGCACUAGGCUAGCCCUUCAUGAGUGCAUCAUGUUUAAAAUUCUUAGAAACCUGAAAUGGGGACUGAUCAAACCCUAGCACCAGAUCAAAUCAAAUAGGUUCAACAUAAAAUCAUUUUCAAUGAACCUGAAAUGCCCUUCUAAAAUGUUCAUCAUAUUUGCCUUGGUCUUAAACCUCUGACAAAAAUGGUGCACAAUUUUCUAGGUCAUCCUAAGGUCACUGAAUUAAAUCAUAAGUAUUUGAAUUUGGACAUUUAAAUUCUAUAAAAUAUUUUAAAUGUCCAAAUACUCCUAAACUGAAAUGUUCCAUGUUGGAUAUAUUCUAUACAGUGGGCAUGUGCAGUUUAGUGAUUAAUGAAAGGGUCUAGGUAUUUUUAGAAAAACCCUAAAGAUUACAGAAUAAUAGAAAACAGAAAUUAAAAUAGAGAAACCAGAGAGAAAAAACUUACCUGGCGCUCACCUGGCAGCCCAGCUGGCCCAGCACUGUAGCUGAGGCCCAGCCCACCAGGGCGAAGCGGUCGUCUUCAACCUCUGCCAGUAGGCAGAGGCGUGUCGACGCCAGCGCGCCCGAGGCCUCCACCUCCUCCCUCCCAGCCUGCCUGGCUCCUCCUCGAUGCACCAGGCGACGCCACGUAGCCCCUGGCCCCCUCUCACUCUCUCCCGUGCCUCUCCCCUCCUCUGCUUUCUCUCCCUCUCGCGCCUGAGCGCAACCGCCGACGCCGCUCGCCACCACCGCAGCCACCGCCUUCCCCUCGACCUCCCGACGUGUUCAGGAUCUCCCCCUUGACCACCUCCCCCUCCUCGCCGACUAACGCAAGGCCGGAUGACCCGAGGACAACGCCGCGACCUUUCUUCCCCGUCCAUGGCCGCCGGAUGCUGCCGUCCGAUUCGCCGUCUCCGCCACCUCCCCGAGCCCACUGAGCUGCUCGACGACCCCCCUGUGAGCUCCUGCCCCGUUUACCCCUCUCCCCACGGUCAUCUGCUUCCCCUAACUGCGCUAACCGCCCCAACCGUGAGCUCACCGCCGUUGCAAUCGUCACUUCCGCAGCUAGCAACCUCGCCUGACCCAACCGAGCACGUAGUUGUGUUUAGCGUUCUCAAAGGAGGCCACAGCACCGCUUGCCUCGCUCUUCCGUACACCAUAGCCUCGACCCCGAGCUCCCCCGAGCUCCGGCAGCCGCACAGCUCGACGCCGGCAGGGAUUCCGGCCACCUUGCAGCCUUCCGUGGGCUCCCCUGGAGACGCGCGAGGAUGGUCUUUCCUUUGGUGCCUUUAGCGCAUCCAGCCAACGCCCGUAGCGCCGUCCCGAGCAACGCCGGCGAUCCACCGCCGCGGGAUUUCGUCACCGGCGGCUAAACGCCGUUCGCUGACUUGGCGUCAAUAGGUUAGGUUAGUCACUAACCACGCGGUUAGUUUAGCGGUGUGCCACUGACGGAUGGGCCCCAUGCUCUAAUUAACCCGGGAUUUAUUCCUUGUUUAACUUAGACUAAUCCACUGGGCCCACAUGUCAGGUUGACUUUGCUGACGUGGCUGUUGACCUAACCCCACCUGUCUGUGACUCAGACAACAAUGUUUGACUGACCAGUGGACCCCACUGGUCAGGUUUGACCUGGACCGUGCCGUUGACCUGCUAACGUCAGCAUAAUGUCAUGCUGGCGCAGUAAACUAUUUUCUGGUUUUAGUCUAAUUUAAAAUAACCAGGAAAUUCCAGAAAAUAGUAUAAACUUCUAAAAAUCAUAGAAAUUCAACCGUAACUCCAAAUGAAAUAAUUUAUAUAUGAAAAAUUAUCAGAAAAAUCCAAUCUAUCCAUUUAUGCUACUUUCAUGCAUGUUCAACCAACUUAUACCCCCUGUAUAAGUGAAAACAUGAUAAUGGCAUUUUAAAUACCCCUUAGGGAGUUUGCAUGUGAACCCUUGGUUCAUAUGGACCUCAUUUAAAUUGUUGCUAGAUGCAUUAGUACAAAUCACAGCAUAUUGACAUGUCAUGAUCAUGCAUCAUAUUGUGCAUUGCAUUGAUUGUGUUCUUCCUUGUGUGCCGGUGUUUGUCCCUUCUCGAUAGACAUGGUUUCGACGAUGAGUUCGAUGACACCGAUGAAGAGCUAUAUUAUCUUCAGAAGUGCCAGGCCAGCAAAACCCCCUUGUUCAUUCCGAUACAAUCCCACUCUCUCGCUCCUGCUCUCUUUUACUGCAUUAGGACAACAAUGAUCCAUUUGUUAUUUGCUGCGGUAGUUGAACCCCUUAUCCUCUGCAUGACCUGUCAUUGCCACAGUAAAUAGAUGAAACCCACUAGCAUGAGUAGGAGUUGUUUGAGCCCUGAUGUGCCUACUCAUUCAUGCUUGUUUGUCAUGCCUGCUAUGCUUAGAGUUGUGUCAGGUCUAAUUCAUCGGGGAUGAAUUGGAACAGUGAUGAACAUGUCCUACUGUGUGUGAGCUAAGUGUGUGAACACGAUUUGGUAAAGGUAGCGGUGAGAGGCCAUGUAGGAGUACAUGGUGGGUUGUCUCAUUGAAGCCGUCCUCAGGAACUGAGUUCUGUGUUUGUGAUCCAUGAACAGUUACUACCACACAUUGGGUUCCGGUAACUCGACCCCUCUCGACUUAUUAAUCAACCUGAUCUCUGUCCAGGAGUUGCAACUAGUUUCUGGUGUUUGUAGGUAGUGUUAGUAGUCUACCAAGUGGUACCCGGUACAGGUGGGCUUGGGACAGACUAGGCAUAGUGGCACGAUGUACCAAGUGGCACCCGGAUGGUGGGCUUGGGAACCUUGCUCACAUCGUUUGGGGCCGUGAGUGACACCCCGGCCGGAUCUCCUUGCGGAUGGAAAACGAAUAGGCGAUAAACCUGGAUGAGAGACUUGUGUGGUUAGUCAGGUCGUGGCCGACACCCUCGCCAGGCUUCCGCUUGAAGGUUGCCGAGAUACAUGACGUGUACAUGGCGGUAAGUGGCGAGAGCGUGUGUGAAGAAGUACACCCCUGCAGGGUUAACAUUAUCUAUUCGAAUAGUCGUGUCCGCGGUAAAGGACUUCUGGGUUGCCUGUACAGUUCAUAGACAAGUGAAAGUGGAUACUCUAAAAUGCGCAAGAUAAGCGUCAGUGCUAUGGAUGGCGUUCUCGUAGGGAGAUGGGAGUAGAUCCAUAGUGGUGUAUUGAUAUGGUGAAUAUGUGGACUCGUGUGCGCCACCUCAAGGAGUUACAUUGCAGUCGUAGUUCAGGAUAGCCACUGAGUCAAAGCUGGCUUGCUGCAGUUAAACCCCACCAUCCCCUUUGUUGAUAAUGAUGCAUAUGUAGUUAGUUCUGAUGUAAGUCUUGCUGGGUACAUUUGUACUCACGUUUGCCUAUUUUAUGUUUUUGCAGAGAGACUUCAGUCUCGCUAGUAGUUCUGCGUGAACUUCGACGGUUAGCUUGUUACCUCAGCUACGAUCUUGUGCCCUCGGUAGGAUCUGGUAGUUAGUCAGGCUUCUCAGCCUUUUUCAUUUGUAGUUGUCUGUACUCAGACAUUUUAAGCUUCCGCUUGUGCUUUGACUUGUAUGCUCUGAAUGCUGGGUCGAGAGACCCAUGUUUGUAAUAUCUCACUCCUCGGAGCCUAUUGAAUAAAUACUUGAGUUGUAGAGUCAUGUUGUGAUGCCAUGUUGUAUUUGCACAUAUCGAGCAUAUUGUGUGUAUGUUAUUGAAAUGCUUGGUAUGUGUGGGAUCUGACUAUCUAGUUGUUUAUCCUUAGUAGCCUCUCUUACCGGGAAAUGCCUCCUAGUGCUUCCACUGAGCCAUGGUAGCUUGCUACUGCUCCGGAACACUUAGGCUGGCUGGCAUGUGUCCUUCUUCGUUCAUGUGUCUGUCCCUUCGGGGAAAUGUCACGCGAUGAAUACCGGAGUCCUGUUAGCCCGCUACAGCCCGGUUCACCGGAGUCCUACUAGCCCAGUGCUACAGCCUGGAUUUACUCGCUGAUGACCGACACGUUCGAUGCUGGGUCAUGAAUGCCUGUCCCUAUAAGUUUGUGCCACUUUGGGUUUACGACUAGCCAUGUCAGCCCGGGCUCCUUAUCAUAUGGAUGCUAGCGACACUAUCAUAUACGUGUGCCAAAAGGCGCAAACGGUCCCGGGCAAAGGUAAGGCGACACCCGUGGGGAUACCGUGCGUGAUGCCGCAAAGUGAUAUGAGGUGUUACAUGCUAGAUUGAUGUGGCAUUGAGUCGGGGUCCUGACAUUGCAUCACACCGUGGAAAAUGUAUUAGAGCAUCAAGCAGUAUGUGCCUUCAAGGAAGGCGUGAAAUACCGAGAGCUGGUCCUGAAGUUCGGUCGGACUGGAGAUAUGACUCUGACUCGGAUGAUGGAAAUAGCCACCCAGUAUGCUAACAGAGAAGAAGAAGAAGAUCGACUCUGCAGCGGAAAGGGUAAACCAGUCGGCCAAGAUGCCGGUGGCAGUAAUUCCAAUCGGAAACAGAAACGUAAGGCCGAGCCCGUGGCACCCGAUGAGAUCGCAGCAGUGGUUCAAGGAAAGUUUAAAGGAAAACCUAAGGGGCCCUGGACCCCUAAGAAGGUAAAGGAUCAAGAGGGAAAUGAUGUGUUGAAUUUACCAUGUCACAUCCAUACGAAGAAAGAUGAAGAGGGUAACCUGAUUUUCCCUAAGCACACCACUCGACAAUGUCGACUCCUGAUCCAGCAGUUCCUAGAGAAACAGCCCAGCGAGAAGGAGAAAGAGUCAGACAAAGACGAGGACGAAGAGGAAGAUGAUGGUUAUCCCAAAGUCAAUUCCACCCUGAUGAUUUUUGCUGAUGUCGAGAGCAAGAGUCGGUUGAAAGUUAUCAACAGAGAAGUGAAUAUGGUCACUCCAGCGAUGACAACCACAUACCUAUAAUGGUCACAAACAACCAUCACAUUCGACCAGUCUGAUCACCCGGCGCGUAUAGCCACUCCAGGGAGGCAAGCGUUGGUGGUCGACCCAGUGGUCGAAGGCACUCGACUGACCAAAGUGCUGAUGGAUGGUAGUAGCGGCCUGAAUAUCCUUUAUGCUGAAACCUUGAAGGGGAUGGGCAUUCCGAUGUCUAAACUUAGCGAGAGCAAUAUGAGCUUUCAUGGUGUUAUCCCUGGAAAGAAAGCCGAAUCACUCGGCCAGAUUUCCCUUGACGUGGUUUUCGGUGAUUCGAAGAAUUCCCGUAAGGAAAAGUUGACAUUUGAAGUAGUGGAUUUCCAUAGCGCUUAUCAUGCUAUUCUGGGUAGGCCAGCCUAUGCGCGUUUUAUGGCUCGACCAUGUUACGUGUACCUCAAGCUGAAGAUGCCUGGUCCCAAAGGAGUGAUCACAGAGACUGGUAAUCGGCAGAAGGCAGAAGAAUGCUUCCAGAAGGGCUCCAAAAUUGCCGAUGCGCAAAUGGCAGUAGUUGAAUUUCAAGAGUAUCAGAAGAAUGCGGAUCCGAGUGAUUUGCUCCGAGCUAAGAAGCCUGCCACGGAUUCUACGUUCCAGUCAUCUGGAGAGACGAAGCCGAUUCAUAUCCACCCGACUGAUCCCAAUGCUACACUGACUCAUAUCUCAACGACACUCGACAGCAAAUAGGAAGAAGCGCUCAUCCAGUUCCUCCGUGAGAACUGGGACAUCUUUGCAUGGAAACCUUCUGACAUGCCGGGUGUACCUAGAGGACUGGCUGAGCACCGUUUGCGUGUCGAUCCCAAGGUAAAACCAGUCAAAGAGCAUCUUCGGCGGUCCGCUGUGUAGAAGAGAAAUGCAAUUGGUGAGGAAGUGACUCGGCUCCUAGCAGGAGAGUUCAUCCAAGAGAUCUACCACUCCGAGUGGCUUGCCAAUGUGGUCAUGGUCCCUAAAAAGGACGAUUCACUUUGUAUGUGCAUCGAUUUCAAGCAUAUCAAUCGGUCCUGCCCGAAAGAUCAUUUUUCCCCUCCCCCGCAUCGAUCAAAUUGUUGACUCGACUGCGGGGUGUGAGCGCUUGUCUUUUUUAGAUGCAUAUUCCGGGUAUCAUCAGAUCCGACUGUAUGGUCCCGAUGAAAUAAAAACAGCUUUCAUCACCCCAUUCGGGUGCUUUUGCUAUGUCACCAUGCCAUUUGGUCUUAAAAAUGCCGGAGCCACAUUCAUGAGGAUGAUUCAAAAGUGCAUGCUCACUCAAAUCAGUCGGAAUGUGGAAGCAUACAUGGAUGACAUUAUGGUCAAGUCAUGUAAAGGUUCUGACCUAAUGACUGACCUUGCAGAAACCUUUGCCAACCUAAGAAGGUAUGAUAUCAAGCUUAAUCCGUCAAAGUGCACAUUCGGAGUUCCAGGUGGAAAGUUACUCAGUUUCCUUGUUUCCGAACGGGGGAUCGACGCAAAUCCAGAAAAAGUUGAUACCAUCCUCCGAAUGAAACACCCUGUCUGUGUGCAUGACGUUCAGAAGCUUACUGGUUGUUUGGCCGCCUUGAGUCGAUUCAUUUCUCAUCUCGGUGAAAAGGCCUUGCCUCUUUACCGAUUGAUGAAGAAAUCUGAUAAGUUCGAGUGGACUGACGAAGCUGACGCAGCGUUUGUAGAGCUCAAAACCCUGCUUUCCACCCAGCCGGUGCUUGCUGUGCCAAUCAGCAAAGAGCCUUUACUGCUUUAUAUUGCAGCCACUGGACAAGUUGUCAGUACAGUACUCACGAUCGAGCGGGAAGAAGAAGGAAAGGCUUACAAAGUUCAGCGCCCAGUGUAUUAUCUCUCUGGAGUUUUGACUCCAUCCAAGCAGCGAUAUGCACAUUAUCAGAAGCUUGUCUAUGGAAUCUACAUGACCAUGAAGAAGGUUGCACACUAUUUCUCUGAUCACUCCAUUACAGUCGUCAGUGACGCACCAUUAUCUGAAAUUCUGAACAACAAAGAUGCAACUGGUCGAGUGGAAAAAUGGGUGAUUGAACUCCUUCCAUUGGAUAUCAAGUUUGAGGCAAAGAAAGCUAUCAAGUCCCAAGCAAUUGCAAAUUUCCUUGCCGAGUGGAUUGAGCAGCAACUACCGACUCAAGUUCACUUGGAGCAUUGGACCAUGUUCUUCAAUGGCUCCAAGAUGCUGAAUGGUUCUGGUGCUGGGGUAGUGUUGGUAUCCCCCCCGUGGAGACAAGCUUAGUUAUGUUCUCCAAAUUCAUUUUGAUUCUUCCAACAAUGAAGCUGAAUAUGAAGCACUUUUGUACGGGUUGCGUAUGGCCAUUUCACUCAGCGUCCGUCGCCUUAUGGUCUACGGUGACUCAAAUUUAGUGGUUAAUCAAGUGCUGAAAGAAUGGGAUGUCAGGAGCCCAGCCAUGACUGGUUAUUGUAAUGCAGUAAGAAAGCUGGAAAAGAAGUUUGAAGGGUUGGAGCUUCACCAUAUACCCCGACUGAAAAAUCAAGCCGCAGAUGAAUUGGCAAAGAUAGGUUCUAAGAGAGAGGUCGUUCCCAGCAAUGUGUUUUUGGAGCAUAUUCAUUCACCUUCAGUUCAGGAGGAUCCUUUUACUAAAGAGUCCCCACAGCCCAAGAGCGCCACAGAUCCGACUGAAGUCGAAAUCCCAGCCAUGGUCGACUUAGUCAUGGAGGUUUUGGUCGUCACUCCCGACUGGACAGUGCCAUACAUCGCAUACAUUCUUAGGAAAGAACUUCCAGAGGAUGAAGAGGAGGCUCGACAGAUCGUCCGACGAUCUAAAGCCUUUACUGUGAUAAAAGGUCAGUUGUUCAGAGAAAGUGUAACUGGAGUCUGCCAGAAAUGCAUCACGCCAGAAGAAGGCCGAAUGAUCCUCAAUGAUAUUCACUCGGGGACCUGUGGUCACCAUGCGUCCUCUCGGACCAUCGUGGCCAAAGCAUACCGAGACGGAUUUUACUGCCACAUGCCAAUGAGAUGGCGAAAGAAAUAGUAGACAAAUGUGAAGGUUGUCAGUUUUACUCCAACAUGUCCCAUAAGCCUACGUUAGCUCUGAAGACUAUUCCACUCUUCUAGCCUUUCGCUGUCUCGGGAUUGGAUAUGGUUGGACCUCUGAGGACUGUCAGGAGUGGAUUUACCCAUGUGCUGGUAGCAGUCGACAAGUUUACCAAGUGUAUCGAAGCCAAGCCCAUUAAAAACCUUGAAGCAAGUACAACUGUAAGUUUCAUCAGAGAAUUGAUAUUCAGAUACGAUGUUCCGCACAGCAUCAUCACAGAUAAUGGGUCGAACUUCGACUCUGAUGAGUGCAGAGCCUUUUGUGCUUCCCAAGGCACGAGGGUCGAUUACGCUUCAGUCGCCCAUCCUCAGUCGAAUGGGCAGGCUGAAAGAGCAAAUGGAUUGAUUCUCAAAGGACUGAAACCCCGAUUGAUGUGUGACCUCAAGCAUGCAGCAGGUGCCUGGGUCGAUGAACUUCCAUCAGUACUUUGGGGAUUGAGGACAACUCCUAAUCGGUCGACCGGACAAACUCCAUUCUUCUUAGUCUACGAGCUGAAGCCGUACUCCCGAGUGAUUUGCUUCACAAUGCGCCUCGAGUCAAGCUAUUCUCAGACGAAGAAGCAGAACAGGCUCGGCAAGAUGCAGUCGAUCUCCUAGAAGAAGAAAGAGAGAUGGCCUUGAUCCGGUUGACCAUUUAUCAACAAGACUUGCGCGAUUCCAUGCCAGAAACGUAAGGGGUUGGGCAUUUUAGGAGGGAGACUUGGUUCUUCGAGUGGACCAGCAGAAACCACACAAGAUUGCUCCUUCUUGGGAAGGCCCCUUCGUCAUCACCAAAGUGCUCCACGAUGGGGCAUAUCGUCUUUUCAACAUUGAGCACAAUAAAGAUGAGCCACGUGCUUGGAAUGCGGAAAUGCUCCGCCCCUUUUACUCUUAAGCAUUCAGACUAUUGAGAUGUAAUAAGAAAUACCUUUUUAGUUUGAUUAUCAAAGACACGAUUUUACAGUCUUCCGAAUGAUUGUUGUUCAUUUUUUACAUGUAAUCACCCAGUGGGUGCCUUAGCUGUGAAUCCGUUUUGCCUAAGUUGAAAAGAAAACUCCUACCGAGUGGUGAGCCAGACUCUCACUCGGGGGCUUAGCUGCGAAUCCGUUUCGCCUAAGUUUGAAAAAUCCUACCAAGUGGCGAGCCAGCCUCUCACUCGGGGGCUUAGCUGCGAAUCCGUUUCACCUAAUUUUGAAAAAUCCUACCAAGUGGCGAGCCAGCCUCUCACUUGGGGGCUUAGCUGCGAAUCCGUUUCGCCUAAGUUUNNNNNNNNNNNNNNNNNNNNNNNNNNNNNNNNNNNNNNNNNNNNNNNNNNNNNNNNNNNNNNNNNNNNNNNNNNNNNNNNNNNNNNNNNNNNNNNNNNNNNNNNNNNNNNNNNNNNNNNNNNNNNNNNNNNNNNNNNNNNNNNNNNNNNNNNNNNNNNNNNNNNNNNNNNNNNNNNNNNNNNNNNNNNNNNNNNNNNNNNNNNNNNNNNNNNNNNNNNNNNNNNNNNNNNNNNNNNNNNNNNNNNNNNNNNNNNNNNNNNNNNNNNNNNNNNNNNNNNNNNNNNNNNNNNNNNNNNNNNNNNNNNNNNNNNNNNNNNNNNNNNNNNNNNNNNNNNNNNNNNNNNNNNNNNNNNNNNNNNNNNNNNNNNNNNNNNNNNNNNNNNNNNNNNNNNNNNNNNNNNNNNNNNNNNNNNNNNNNNNNNNNNNNNNNNNNNNNNNNNNNNNNNNNNNNNNNNNNNNNNNNNNNNNNNNNNNNNNNNNNNNNNNNNNNNNNCACUCGGGGGCUUAGCUACAGUCCAGUACUCGCCUAAGUAUAAAAAAUCGUACCGAGUGGCGAGCAAUCCUCUCACUCGGGGGCUUAGCUGCAGUCCAGUACUCGCCUAAGUAUAAAAAAUCCUACCGAGUGGCAAGCAAUCCUCUCACUCGAGGGCUUAGCUGCAGUCCAGCACUCGCCUAAGUUUGAAAAACCCAACCGAAUGGUAUGGUUCGACCACGACCCCUCCCCCCGGGGCUGCACCGUCAAGAAGAAGGACGAGAUUGUGCGCAAUGCCAAAGGCUCAUCCAAUAGCUGACGCCAAGACGAGCUGCUUUCAGGAACGUCAAGACCAUUGUUGAAUGCCUCGCUAAUGAGCUGAUCAAUGCUGCCAAAGGUUCAUCCAACAGCUAGUGCCAAGGCGAACUACUUUCAGAAACAUCAAGGCCAUUGUUGAGUGCCUCGCUGAUGAGCUGAUCAAUGCUGCUCAAGGCUCGUCCAACAGGUCGACUGCGGCCUCUUCCUCAGAAGCUGCAUCGAGAGUACAAAAACCAAUCCGAGGGAAGAACGAGCUCCGAUCGAAAACAAGCACAACAUAUUCAAAGAUAAACCAAGUUCAGAUAAAUCCAAAGGUUUCUAACCGCGGAUUAAAUUACUUGGGCGUUAGGCCCGAAGGAAUUUCAGCGAUUACAAAAUCACUCGGCAUUCCGAGGCAAAUGAGGGUGAAGCAUAAUGUUUUUUCGAUCACUCGGUGGGAUAAGGGCUGGCUGGAUCACAGAAGCUGUCAAGGUUAAUGCUGUCAGCAAUACGAGUGGCUACCUCAAGGAAGGUGUCCAUGAAGGACUAGAAGGUGUGCUUCUUAGUAUUCACAACCUUGAGGGCCGCCAACUUGUCUUCUCUGGCCUCCUUGCUGUGCACUCAAACCAAUGACAGGGCGACGUUAGCGCCACAGCGAGCGGAUGACUUCUUCCACUCCUGCACUCGACCAUGAAUAUGAUUGAGUCGAGUCAUCAGCGACUCGAGGUCUUGAGAAAGUUCCGCCUGAGGCCAGAGUUCGGCGUCCACCCCGGUCAUUGCCGCCUUCAGUCGAGCCAGAUAGGCAACGGCGCCGUCCAAGCGUGAUUCCAACCGCAGCAAGUUCAUCACAAUGUCAUCUUUCACAGGGCAAUUGAUGGGGUUGAGACCUGUCUCAACCCGCCCAGUUUCAGCUACAAAGUCCUGACAAAGUUCUGCUCCAUCAUGAAAAAUAGUGAGUCGACAAUAUUACAACAUACUUCAAUCAACGACAAUUAACCAGUCGAGCAGUUGUACCUUCAAGCUUCAGAACUAGUUUCACGGUGAGUUGUCCCAGAUAGGACUAUAGCUUGCGUGUCUUGGCUCUGAGGCCCCCAACUUCAUUGGUUAGGUUCUCCUUGUCCUUCUUCAGUUGCUCGACUUCCCGAUUGGCUUCCGAGAUGGCGGUCUUCAGCUUCGUGUUCUCCUCUUCCAACUUGCCGACUGAAGCCAGCUUCUUGUCCGCAAGCAUUGUCUUCUCACGUGCUUCUUCUGAGCAGCAGCAAGGUCCUGGUCCUUCUUCUCCAAAGCUUCCUUCAUUCUCUCUAAAGAAACAACACUCUUCAGACGAGCCUGAAGUUGACGAUUUUCACUAUGCACAUCUGCUUGUGUGAAGUCACUCGGUUCAAAGAGACUGAAAGAAAAAACAGUGAAAGACGCGAGCUACUAGGUGGGCAAGAGUCGAUUGGUUACCUCCCAUGAUGGUCGUUUCUUCUUGAGCAGUCUUGAGGUUCUUCUUUGCGAGUUCAAGAUCAAGUUCAACGCUGAUAUGCUUCUUCUUUAACUCGGAAAGCCGAGCUCCAAGAUCACAAGACCUCUGCAAUCAGCGAGAGAGAUAUAUCAGUCGACAGAAAUAAGAGAUAAUGACAGUGAAAAGUUACUCUAAGACUACUACCGAAUCAAAUAUUCAAUAGUAGUCUCGGGGACUACACCCGGUGGGUGCACUGAGCAUGCCCCCACUGGUUUAGAUCAACACUCAGCAUGGUCUACCCAGCGUGAGUCAAAGAAAAAAGAGAAGAUUCUAAGACCUCAGCCGACUGCGAGCAGUCGACCGUGGUUUCGAGGACUACACCCAGUGGGUGCACUCGGCGUGCCCCCAUUGGUCCGAACAAAUUACUAAGACUCAGCACGAGUCGAGUGAAGUGGAAGAUUUCAUAAACUCUAAACAUAGGCACACCCCAGUGGGUGAUCAGAUAUAAAACAGCAUUCAAAAGUUCAGUUGGAGUUCGCUCACCUUAACAUUGGUCUGUAGGGCGGUGCUGGUGUUAUAAGCCACCUGACUGGCCUCAUGCAUCACCUUCACCUGCUCCAUGACAAGGUUCACCUAGCGAAGAGCCUCCCUGGCAGCACUCGGCGAAUCGUCUGGGGUCUGAUAUGCAGCGAAGAGUGAUCGCUCCAAGGCGGCUGAAGCAGCUAUUGGGUCAGACGAGUGGAGUUGCACUGGAGCGGCAGUAACCGGAGCAGUCGACCCCGACGGACGAUCAGUUUUAACGGGCUGGCAAAUGUGACAUUGGUCCGAACCAGAUCUCCGAACGCUCGACCACCGCCUCAAGCGCUGGCGCCGACUGAGGGGCUUGAACUUCAAGCUUUCUCCUGCUCGAGCCCCCACCUCUCCUCCUCCUCUCCUGUAGAGGCACUUCUUCUUCUUCUUCACCAGGAAGCACGACGACCUCUCGCUGAACUGCAGAGAGAGAGAAACAUUGGAAAUUCAGUUGGCCACUACAACCCACUUGACUAAAUGAAACCUGGUCGAACGGACUUACCAGCUCCGGAAGUGGUAGCAUCGUCGGUCUCCUCGUCUCCUGGAGCUUUGUCGAUAUCCAUGUUAGUUGCAGGAGAGGUUGGGCUAGGAAGAUACACGAUCCAUUUGGUCAGAACAAAAACUUCAGUCGGCCUAGAUAAAUGCAAGCAAGAUACUCACUCCGAAGCAACAGGGACGUCCAUCUUGAUCCGCGGCAAAGUCUUCCGAGUCUUUGGAGGAGCAACCUUGGGCUGCUUGGCGACCUUCUCUGUCGGCUCUGGAGUCGACGUCCGAGUGCGCUUCUGCUGCGUGUACUUGGAGCCACGUUCUUUCCGCGCCCGCCCGCCGGGUCAUGGUGUUGCUUGGAUUGGCGUUCGGAGCGCGGCAGCGAGUCGACUUCUUCCUUGUCGUCUGACUCCUCGCUCUCCUCCUCCUCGUCUUUAUCCGAAGAUUCCCAUUCACCACUCUCCUCCGCGCUGGCCUCUCCCUCCUGGUCCUGCUCCAGAGCUUGUUCACCGUUGGGCAUCGAGUACAUGUCAGUGAAAACUUACAAGACAAAAAGUCGAGUGAAAGUCAGUCGAGAUCAAGCACAAUCAGAAUGUGUAUGCAAAGACAGUUGGAAUAAAGAACAUACCUUGUCGGGCUGAUUGUCGUCACUGAAGGGGGUGACUCGCCUGGCUCCUCUGGGGUUGUCUUGGUUGCAUGUAAUGCUAUUCAACCACAUGGCCAUGGUCUUCACUGGCACUUCCUCUGGAUGAACAAGAGCGGUGUCGUUGGACCUAGAGUACAGCCACAUGGGAUGGUCAUGGGCCUGAAGAGGCUGGAUGCAUCGACUGAGGAAUACUUCUAGCAGGUCCAUGCCAGUGACACCCUCAUUAAUCAGUUGGACCACUUUCUCAACCAACAUCUUCGUCUCCACGUUCUCAGCAACAGUUACUUUCAGUGGAGAAGGAGUCUGGACACGGUCAAAAGUGAAGUGGGGAAGGCCAGUCGACUGGCCUGGAGUUGAGAGGUCCUGGCAGUAGAACCAGGUCGACUGCCAACCUCUAACUGAUUCAGGGAGAGUCAUGGUAGGGAAAGAACUCCUCUGCAUCUUUUGGAUACCCAAACCCCCACACAUCUGGAUGACAUGGGUCUUCGAGUCACUCGUUUUCGCUUUCUUCACCGACUGGGAUCGGAUGGUGAAAAUAUGUUUGAAAAGGCCCCAGUGCGGUCGACAUCCCAAAAAAAAUUCACACAUCGACACGAACACGGCAAGGUACGUGAUGGUAUUGGGAGAAAAAUGGUGGAGUUGAGCACCAAAGAAGUUCAGGAACCCCGGAAGAAGGGGUGCGGAGGGAGCGAAAAAACCCGGUCGACGUGGGUGGCGAGUAGUACACACUCACCCGAUCAAGGCUGCCGCUCUGUAUCCCCCUCAGGCAGCCUUGCUGCACCCUUGGUGAUCAGCCCGGACUCCACCAGCUCAUCCAGAUCUUCUUGCCAGAGCGAAGACCGGAUCCAAUCGCCCUGGAUCCAGCCUGGCGGCAGCCCCACGCGCGAUGACGACCCACGAUUCUACUUCUUGCCUUUCUCCGCCCCUGUCGCCUUCUUCGCGCGCUCCAGCACCGCCGUCUUGUCCUUCACCAUGGCGGCAGAGCGGCAACAUCGAGAGCAGAAGAACUAUAUGCGGUGAAGAAGCGGAGGAAGAAGAGAAACGGGCGUGCACAGUGCAGACGCCUCGACCCCGUCGCCUUAUAAAGGGCUGCUUCCGAGUGGCUGACACGUGGGACCAGGCGAUCUUGUCAAAUCCCGCAACAGUCGUGCGCAACGUACGUGGCGAAAAAUAUGGCGCGGGAAUCGAGGCACUACUGUUUAUCCGCCCCGCUUACUUCGGCGCCCCCGUCCCGCGCGCUUCCCCGAAAUUUCGUAUCCCGUGAAAUCGGGGAUACACUGCUAUCAAUCGCACCAAAGAUUCUGCACCCCAAGACAACACUAGGUGGAUGAUACAACAAGUUCAGUCGGCAACUCUCUGAAUGGAUCAAGGCGAUUGAAUCAAUGCUGAAGUACCAACAUGAGCCUUCUGUCCUGUGUAAAACACUCGCGAGACCCGAAGCUCGAAACAAGAUUAACUUCAGCCUACUUUCCAUUCAAACCUCAAUCCAUUCGGGGGCUACUGAUGAGGAUACAGACCUGGGGGUAGGGUCAUAGGCCUGACCUAUACGCCCUACCCAAGGUCACUAUCGUAGAAGAUAAGAAGUUCAAGAGGCAACGAAGAACCCCCAGUCAAAGAUGUCGAGUGCAAUCCACUCGACCAGUCAUAUCACUCGGGCGUCCCCCUGCCUAUUGUCACUCGAACAUACGAGGAAUCACUUGACCUACUGAAGGCCAGGAGUCACUCAACACAACAACAGUCGGACAUUCACUCUGUAGUCUUUAAGAUCAUUAAUAACACUUAAGGCUGGCGUUAUCAGUAACGCCCCUUGAGGGAGUCCUGGACUAGGGGGUGUCCGGAUAGCCGAACUAUCAUCAUUGGCCGGACUACAAGACUAUGAAGAUACAAGAUUGAAGACUUCAUCCCGUGUCCGGAUGGGACUUUCCUUGGUGUGGAAGGCAAGCUUGGCGAUACGGAUAUGUAGAUCUCCUACCAUUGUAACCGACUCUGUGUAACCCUAGCCCUCUCCGGUGUCUAUAUAAACCAGAGGGUUUUAGUCCGUAGAACAACAAUCAUAUCAUAGGCUAGCUGUCAGGACCCCGACUCGAUGUCACAUCGAUCUAGCCGGUAACACCUCAUAUCACUUUGCGGCCUCACGCACGGUAUCCCCACGGGUGUCGUCUUACCUUUUCCCGGGACCGUUUGCGCCUUUUGGCUCACGUAUAUGAUAGUGUCGCUAGCAUCCAUAUGAUAAGGAGCCCGGGCUGACAUGACUAGUCGUAAACCCAAAGUGGCACAGACUUACAGGGACAGGCAUCCAUGACCCAGCUUCGAACGUGUCGGUCAUCAGCAAGUGGGUCCGGGCUGUAGCACUGGGCUAGCAGGACUCCGGUAAACCGGGCUGUAGCGGGCUAACAGGACUCCGGUACUCAAAGCGUGACAUUUCCCCGAAGGGACAGACACAGGAACGAAGAAGGACGCAUGCCGGCCAGCCUAAGUGUUCCAGAGCAGUAGCAAGCUACCAUGGCUCAGCGGUAACACUAGGAGACAUUUCCCGGUAAGAGAGGCUACUAAAGAUAAACAACUAGAUAGUCAGAUCCCACACAUACCAAGCAUUUCAAUCAUACACACAAUAUGCUUGAUAUGUGCAAAUACAACGAAGCAUCACAACAUGACUCUACGACACAAGUACUUUAUUUAAGGCUCAGGGAGCCAUACAUAUCAUACACAAAGGUACGGGUCUCACGACCCAACAUACAAGUCAUACAGUCAUACAAACCAGCAGCGGAAGUACAUUGUCUGAGUACAGAAAACUAGUAAAAUAAAAGAGGCUUGGAAAGCCUAGCUAUACUACGUGGUCCAUCACAAGCUCAGGGUCACCACCUGGGUCCUUAGCCUACUCGUUGAUGUCAACGUCUACAUAGAACCCAUCAGAAGGGGUUGCAGUGUCUUCUGUAAAAUGUAGAUUAUAGCAACAUGAGUACAAAGGUACUCAGCAAGACUUACAACAGAUCCUACAUACAUGCAUAUUAUCAAGAAGGGUUGGUGGAGUUAUUGCAGCAAGCCAGCUUUGACUCUUGGCUAGACUAUCCUAUGAUACUCCAACUUGAAAUGGUUUUGCGCACACGAGUCCACUACUCACCACUUCAAUACACUACCGAGGAUCCACCUACGUCUUCCUACGGAAGGGCCAUCCUCGGCACUCACACUUAUCUUGAGGCUUUUAGUAGUUUCCAUUUACUUGUCUAUGAACUGUAUCGGCAACCAAGUAGUCCUUUACCGCGGACGCGGCUAUUCGAAUAGAUCAUGUUAACCCUGCAGGGGUGUACUUCUUCAUACACGCUCUCACCACUUACCGUCGUUUACACGACAUGUACUCGGCAACCUUCAAGCGGAAGCCCAACGUGGGUGUCGGCCACGACCUACCUAAUCACCUAAGCCUCCAGUCCAGGUUUAUCGCCUAUUCAGGUUCCAUCCGCAGGGAGUCCGGCCGAGGUUUCCCAUACGGCCCCGAACGAUGUGAACAGGGUUCCCGAGAUACCUAACAGGUAUUCGGUACACCGUGCCACGUACCUACCGCAUCACAGCCCACCCCUACGGUCAGCGCUGUCCACGGCCUCCAGUAGGCUACAAACACCAGAAACUACUUGCAACUCCCGGACGGAGAACUAGGGUGAAUAAGAAGCCGAGAGGGUCCAUUGAUUUCGGGCCCAAUGCAUGGUAGUAGCUGAUUCUUAAAUCACACAUACAGAUCUCAGUGCUUAAGGUCGGCUUCAAUGAAACAACCCACCAUGUACUCCUACAUGGCCUCUCAUCGAUACCUUUACCAAAUCGUGUUCACCACACUACUCUCAUUACCGACAUAAUCAUUUCACUCUAGCCCAUCACCCAGAUGAACCAGACCUGACACGACUCUAAGCAUAGCAGGCAUAGCAAGGUAGGAACAACACAUGCAUAUGGCUCAAGCAACUCCUACACAUGCUAGUGGGUUUCAUCUAGUUACUGUGGCAAUGACAGGUCAUGCAGAGGAAAUGGGUUCAACUACCGUAGCACACAGCAGUUUGAAACGCGUUGUCUUAAUGCAGUAAAAGAGAGCAGGAGCGAGAACAUGGGAUUGUAUCGAUAUGAUCAAAUGGUUGGUUGCUUGCCUGAUGGUUCGAUGCACUGAUACGGUUCUUCGUUAGGGUAAUCACGGUACUCCUCGGAGGCAGAACCUGUCGCAAAGGACAUCGAUACGCAAACAUCACCAAACAAUGUGCAACAAUAUGAUGCAUGCAUGAGACAUGGCAAAAUGAGUGUGUUGGGCUAAUGCAACUAAAACCAGAAGGGUUUGAACAAAUUUGAAUCAAAGAUUCAAAUUUCAAACUCAAGCAUGGCCUUUUUAAGUGCUUUUCCUUGUUCUGCUUAAAACAUCAAUUUAACUUGUUUGAUCAUGCAUGAAAAUAGUACAGAUGGAUAGAUUGGAUUUUUCUGAUCAUUUUUCAUAUAUAAUUUGUCCAAUUUGGAGUUACAGAAUAAAAGUUAUGAAUUUUUGAAGUUUAAAUAAUAUUCUGGAAUUUCCUGAUUUAAAUUAAAUCCAGAAAUUAUAAUUAUUGCGCCAGCAUGACGUCAGCAUGACGUCAGUGGUCAACUGCGGCUGUCUGGGGUCAAACCUGACGUGUGGGGUCCACACGUCAGUGACAGGGGGGUUAAACAGGGUUAGUUUAAUCCUAAUUAGGGGUUAGUGGCGCUGGGGGCCCACUGUCAGUGUCAGGGGGUUAACCAUUAGUGGUUAGCACUAAUCCUAAUUAGCUACAGGGCUGGGCCCACCUGUCAGGGACUCAGGGGGGUCCUGCCGUGGUCAAAGUGGGUCAAACCCACCGGCGACGUGACGCCGGCGAGGCCCGAGACGGCGGCGCGACGCGGGAUCGCGCUACAGGGCACGGGCGAGGCCGUGCUUGGGCUCGUUGGAGAGCCCUUGCUCCCGCGCGUCGAACGGUGGCCGUGGCUGGGCCUGGGGUGGCCGGAGUCGACGGCGGCGAGCUCGGCUACGGCCGCCGGAGUUCGGGUGCGGUCGGGAUCGGUGUUGCAGGGGGUUUGGGGAGGCGUUAGUGCGUGUUGCGUGCUCCUAGUGAGGUGUGGAGCACGAUAGUGUGCUCGGUUGGGUGCUACGGUGACCGUGGCCACGACGGCGACAUCGCCGGCGGCGUGGAGCUCUCGGCCAAGGUGGGGCUAGGGCCUAGAGAUCGAACGAGACCAGGGGAGAAGGGGGAAACGACUCGGGGGCUCACCGCGGAGCUGCAGGGAUGGUUAGCGGGCUCGGGGACGCGCUGGAGACGACGAAUUCGACGGCGACGAUGGUCGGAGCCCGAAGAGGGGAACGGCGACGUGGCGGCAAUGCAGGGCUUCCGGGGAGCNNNNNNNNNNNNNNNNNNNNNNNNNNNNNNNNNNNNNNNNNNNNNNNNNNNNNNNNNNNNNNNNNNNNNNNNNNNNNNNNNNNNNNNNNNNNNNNNNNNNNNNNNNNNNNNNNNNNNNNNNNNNNNNNNNNNNNNNNNNNNNNNNNNNNNNNNNNNNNNNNNNNNNNNNNNNNNNNNNNNNNNNNNNNNNNNNNNNNNNNNNNNNNNNNNNNNNNNNNNNNNNNNNNNNNNNNNNNNNNNNNNNNNNNNNNNNNNNNNNNNNNNNNNNNNNNNNNNNNNNNNNNNNNNNNNNNNNNNNNNNNNNNNNNNNNNNNNNNNNNNNNNNNNNNNNNNNNNNNNNNNNNNNNNNNNNNNNNNNNNNNNNNNNNNNNNNNNNNNNNNNNNNNGUCGGGGGAGCGAGGGGUGGCCGGAGACGGCUGCUGUGGCGAACGGCGGCGACGGUGGUGUUCGGCCGUGUGAGAGAGAGCGAGGGAGAGGAGGGAAGAGCCGGGGGAGAGUGAGAGAGAGCAGGGGGGAGGCGUGGCGUCGUCCAGGGACAUCGAGGCGAGGAGGGGAGGGCAGGCAGGCAGGGAGAGAGGUGGCGUGGCGCGGUGGCGCGCGCGCGCGCCGGCCACACUCCCCUCCCUCUGUCGGGACGAAGACGACAUAGGAGGGAGGUGGGCUGGGCCGGCUGCUGGCUGGGCCGGCCAGCUGGCUGGGCUGCACAGGGAGGAGCCCAGGUAAGCUUCUCCCUUUUAUUUUUUUUUCUGUUUUCUAAUUUCUGACAUUUGUUUUGAUUUAAAUAAUAUAUUAAAUCAUUUAUUUAACUUAUGCCAAUUUUUGCAGGAGCUAUAUAUAUUAUUCCAGAGCUCCUUUAUAUUUGGCAUAAUAUUUGGACAUAUAUUAAUAUAUAUAUAAUUAAUAUAUUUCCAAUGCAAAUAUUUAUGCAUUAAUUCCAAAUGCCCAAAAUAAAUACCUAUGAGCUCUUAAAAAUAUUGGUUUGAUUUUUAUCUCUGUCCAAUAUUUCCAGAGAGCAACAUGAGCAUUUUCUUGGACCCUUUUGGAGAAAUUUUUAUUUGGGUCAUUUCCAAAAUGAUUCUGAGGGUUUCACAGAUCCCCAUUUCAAGUUUCUGAUGAAAGAGUAAACAUGAUUUAACACUCUAAUGCAUGGCUAACUAGGAUGUGACACUAGCUUCUAGGGUUUAGCCUCCUUGAUCUCGUGGUAGAUCCACUCUUGUACUACCCAUAUCAUCAAUAUCAAUCAAGCAGGAGUAGGGUUUUACCUCCAUCGAGAGGGCCCGAACCUGGGUAAAAACAUCGUGUCCCUUGUCUCCUGUUACCAUCCGCCUAGACGCACAGUUCGGGACCCCCUACCCGAGAUCCGCCGAUUUUGACACCGACAUUGGUGCUUUCAUUGAGAGUUCCUCUGUGCCAUCAUGUAUAGGCUCGAUGGCUCCUUCAAUCAUCAACAACGACGCGGUCCAGUGUGAGACUUUUCUCCCCGGACAGAUUUUCGUAUUCUACGGCUUUGCACUGCGGGCCAAUUCGCUUGGCCAUCUGGAGCAGAUUGAAAGCUACACCCCUGGCCAUCAGGUAAGAUCCGGAAGUUUGAACUUCACGGCGGACAUCCGUGGAGACUUGAUCUUCGACGGAUUCGAGCCACAGCCGAGCGCGCCGCACUGUCUCGAUGGGCAUGAUUUAGCUCUGCUGCCGGACAGUGCCCUGGAGGCCGCACAUGAGUCCGCUCCGACCCUUGAUUCGGAGCCGACUGCGCAGAUCGAGGAUAGGUGGCUAGACAUCGCCUCGGGGGCUACUACACCUACGGCGAUGGAGCCAAAUACCGACCUUGUCCCUUGUGAAGCUCAUGACUCUGAGGUGCCGGACUCCUCGCCGGACUCCGAACCUCCCGCGCCCCCUCCAAUCGAAUCCGAUUGGGCGCCGAUCAUGGAGUUCACCACUGCGGACAUCUUUCAACACUCACCUUUCGUCGACAUCCUGAAUUCAUUAAAAUAUCUCUCGUUAUCAGGAGAACCCUGGCCGGACUGCGGUCAGGACGGUUGGCAUGCGGACGACGAAGAAAUUCAAAACCCACCCACCACCCACUUCGUAGCCACUGUCGACGACUUAACCGACAUGCUAGACUUUGACCCCGAAGACAUCGACGGUAUGGACGACGAUGCCGGAGACGACCAAGAACCAGCGCCUACUGGGCACCGGAAAGCCACCUCAACUCACGACGUAUACAUGGUGGAUACACCAAAAGGAAGCGAUAACGAGGAACAACGGGACACGGCGAAGGAUAAUUCCCCCGAAAAACAACCAAAACGGCGACGCAAACGCCGCCCGAAGACCCGCCUCGAUAACAACAGCACCCAUACUGACCCAGCCGUAGAGCAGGGCGAACCAGUGGACGAUGAACAUGCCACCAAGCAACCAUCCGAAUAGGAUGAAUUGGACGAGCAACCUAUCCCCGGCGAAAACAACAGUACUGACGAUCUCACGCCGGACACAUCACCGGAGCAUGAGAACCUCCACAAAAGGCUCGUCGCCACUGCAAGAAGUUUGAAGAAGCAGAAGCGGAAGCUCAAAACAGCGGAAGACGUACUCAGAAUGAGAUGGAGCAAAGUACUCAAGACCGCAGAUAAAUACGGCGAUAGUCACCAAGCAAAGAGCUACCCGAAGCGCAAGUUGUUGCCCGAAUUCGACGAGGAGGCCGUAGAGCCCCCAUAGUCAAAAAACAAAGAGGCCGCCUGGCCGGAUAGACGACCAGAUGACAGUCUAAGAGCGGCAAGCGGCGCCGCACACAAGCCGGCACACGAUCCACAUAAGGAUCCUCGCAAAAAGGAUGGCCCGGUUAGGUCCAUCUAUGGGCCAAAAAAGAAGGCUCCAGGAAGCAACACAACACGCCGAGUGCUCGAAGAUAACGGCACACCUAAAUACAGGGGCGCCGCACACCCACUAUGUUUCACCAAUGAGGUACUGGAUCAUGAAUUUCCAGCGGGAUUCAAGCCCGUAAACAUAGAGGCAUACGACGGAACAACAGACCCCGGGGUCUGGAUUGAGGAUUACAUCCUACACAUACAUAUGGCUAGAGGAGACGAUCUCCAUGCCAUAAAAUACCUACCCCUCAAGCUCAAAGGGCCAGCUCGGCAUUGGCUCAAAAGCCUCCCAGAAAAUACCAUUGGAAGUUGGGAAGAGCUCGAGGAUACGUUUCGAGCAAAUUUUCAGGGGACUUAUGUCCGCCCUCCGGAUGCAGACGAUUUAAGUCACAUAACUCAACAGCCCGGAGAGUCAGCACGCAAAUUCUGGAACAGGUUCCUCACCAAAAAGAACCAAAUAGUCAACUGUCCGGACGCCAAAGCCUUAGCAGCUUUUAAGCAUAACGUCUGAGACGAAUGGCUCGCCAGACACCUCGGCCAGGAAAAACCAAGAACAAUGGCCGCGCUAACCAGCCUCAUGACCCGCUUUUGCGCGGGGGAAGAUAGCUGGCUGGCAAGAUGUAGCACCAGCGACCCGAGUACAUCCGAGAUCAGGGAUGGAAAUGGGAAAUCACGAUGCAGAAAAGAUCAGCGCCGGAAUAAGGAAAAUGGCCCAAAUAGCACGGCGGUCAACGCCGGGUUCAAAAGCUCUCGGCCGAAUAAUAAAACAUUGCCUCUUAAGGACAACAGUGACGAGCUAUCCAACCUAAACAAAAUCUUGGAUAGGAUAUGUCAAAUCCACAGUACCCCCGGGAAACCUGCAAACCAUACCCAUAGAGAUUGUUGGGUCUUCAAGCAGUCCGGCCGACUUAACGCUGAACACAAGGGGCUUGACACACCAAGCGAAGACGAUGACGAACCCCACAAGCAAAGCACUGGAAAACAGAAGACUUUCCCACGAGAAGUCAAAACAGUGAACUCACUUCAAGUGAUAGCAAGGAAAAAUAGUGCGGCACCUACUAAAAUACGGGCCGCACGGUCCACCCCAGCGGAGUCCCGAAAUUGGAUGUCAAAACCAAUUACUUUCGACAUUCAGGAUUACUCCAGAAGUAUUCAAAACACAGGAAGGACUGCUCUGAUAUUGCAGCCCGUAAUCAAUGGACUACAAUUUACACAAGUCCUAAUGGAUGGCGGCAGCGAUUUAAACCUGCUAUAUCCGCACACAAUCCGCAGAAUGGGGAUAGACCCUACCAAAAUUCGCCAUAGCAGCACUUCCUUUAAAGGAGUGACGCCAGGCCCUUACGCCAAUUGCACGGGCUCCUUACUACUAGAAGUUGUGUUCGGUUCAUCCGGCAACUUCCGUCGCGAAAAGCUAAUCUUCCAUAUCGCCCCAUUUAAAAGUAGCCAUCAAGCACUAUUGGGACGCGAAGCUUUCGCCCGCUUUAACGCAAUACCGCAUUACGCGUCUCUUACACUUAAAAUGCCCGGUCCACGCGGCAUCAUCUCAUUAAAAGGUAACUUUGAGUGUUCCUCGACCAUGGAAGAACGUGAGACUGCCUUGACAGCCACACACUAACCCGGCCUUGCUAAUCAAAGCCCUUAAAAAAUAGGUCAUUCAGACCCCGGACACGGUUAGGCGAGUCCGGCAUAAAUAAACUAGGGGCUUCCUAGCCGCAUACCUCUUUACAAGGGGCUGCACACAUGAACAAUGAGAGCCAAUAAAGCUCCACUUUAUUCAUUUUUUAAAUCAUACCUUGUUUUAAAUACAUUUUUCGCAUGAUAUCUUUCCAAAACUAAGUUCUUCUCUUUUAUAGAUGAACAGCGUGCUACACCCGUCCAGGAUACAGGACAACGGAGACACAGGCGCAGACGUGCAGCAGGGACCCGUUGCAAGGAUUCUUUUCAGAUUAAGACCCUGCGUAAACCUUUCUUACUAUCUCUUGUUGAUACACAUCCCCCGGUUUCCCACCAUAACCGAGGAGGAGGUUGGCAUUUUGGCAUCGGCCGCGUCAGAAGUUCUCGCCCUUACCUGGACACUAGGGGCUUAGGGCAUUGUUCUGCCCGUUAUCAUAAAGACUGAAUACCUUAGGGAGUGUUCGGCGUCUUGAGUUAGGCCUUAUAUGCAUCAGCUCUGAAUCAUGUCUUUGGUCAAAUGUUGGGUUUGCCCGGCUCCUGUGUUUUGCUGCCUUACGUUCCGCUCCAUCGGCUAACGCGGCACCAGGAGAACUACUGCGAUUGUGCCCCGGUUCUGCCGGGCGAGCACCUCAGUAGAGAAAGCCGAAAAUUGACUGUCAUGAUAUAGUGAGAGACUGGUCAACCACUUGAUCGACUACUGGAAUGUUUAGAAUUCCUCCGCUUUGACGAAGGACCGCUUCCCGGUCAGGCACACACGCGCCCCGAGUUCGGAGAGCGCGGUGCCUCUAGGGGCUAUAUAGUAGCCCCACCAUCAAGCUCCUAUGGCUAAGUGAAAGUGAUAAAGCAUUAUAGUCCGGUUUCCUAGUUUGCUACGCUACCACCUCCUUCAAAGGACCAAGACGUUGGAUUAAGUGUGAAAAUGCGCUUUUUUGCAAACACCCCCGCACCAUGUGCGUGGGGGCUGAAGCCAAAGACUGCCAUCUUUCAGGUUAUAUAUACAUAUACAUUAACGGCCGCACAGGAGAUAUUUCAAUACUUGAACGCACAAGUGUAAAAAGCCGUUACAUUAUAAAUAUGGUUUCACAAAUCAUACAUGUCAUUUGAACAUAACAUUUUUCGAGCACUGCGACUCUAUUAAACGAGCGCCCUGCAGGACUUCCUCAAAAUAGUGCUCGGUGGGUAAUCGGCUUCUGUCCGAACCCCGGGAUGCAACAUCGGUGGCAUCCAUCUCCGCCCAGUAUGUUUUGACACGGGCGAGAGCCAUCCGUGCACCCUCUAUGCAUGCCGACCGCUUCAUCGCCUUGAUAUGCGGCACCGCCCCAAGGAAUUGCUGCAAUAAGCCAAAAUAACUCUUCGGCUUGGGCCUUUCCGGCCACAGAUGAGCCACCACAUCUGUCAUGGCAAAUCCGGACAAUCUAUUCAGCUCAGCCAACUCAGCCAACCGAUCGGUUAACGGAAGUGGACGCUCCGGACUAUGGAAUUGAGACCAAAAAGCUCUUCCAUUUCAUGAUCCUUCUGGCUUCAGAAGUGCAUGAUUGCGUCCGCCGCACUCGCCGCCAAAUUCAGAUAAGGAUCCUCCGCACCCCACAACUGGCCCAACUGAGCAUACUUCGGAUCCGUGAACUUCCUACGCAGUAGAAAAGGCUUUCCAGCCACAAUGUCUUCGGCCUGACGCAGUUCCUCCUUUGUAGCCCGCAUUGCAGAACGGGCAUCCUUGGCUUCGGCGGUGGCCUUCUUCAGGUCCUCUUGCUCCGCUUGGCGUUCUCUUUCAAGAACCUCAUAGCGGUCGGUAGCAUCUUUCAGUUUCACGGCCAUUCCGGCCAUCUCCUCCCUGCUUCGGCAGUGAGCACCUUUUCGGCUUUUAGCUCCUCAGCUGCCUUCAAGGCAGCCGCAUCACUUUUUCUGGCUUGCUCCUUGGCUCGAGCAAGCUCUGCCCGAAGGUCCUCCAUAGCAGCCGCGCCAUCUGCAUCAAGCAUACAUGUUGUGAGGUGUGGGCAUCAGCCCCCUUACCAGGUGACCGCGGAGAAACCACCUACCUUGUGACUCGUCAGUUCGGCAACUCUAUCAGUCCGGCUGGCCACCGAACGUUCUGCCACCUACAUAGGAAAGGCGACAUUUUAUAACUGAGAUUAUGAUCCUCGGCACGCUAUCAUUUUCGACAACAUACCGAGUCUCAGGGGCUACUAUCUAUACAGGGCGCACUCUAUGUGCAAAACUGUCAAGAGGUAUGUCAUUUUUCGCGUACCUCAAACCCCGUUAGUAAACUUCUGAUGGCCUCAUGCAACCCGCUCUCAGCGGAUGAGAUCCUUUCAAUCACCGUACUCAUUAAUGUAUGAUGAUCUUCUGAGAUAGACGCCCUCUCAAGCAGAUCCUUCAGCUCCACCGGCCGUACACCAGCUGGUGCCGAACUCCCCGGCCCCGCCGGACUCGGGGAGACCCUCCGUGACGACACCUCAGGGUCAUCCGCCCCGCCUGACGGUGCGGCAGAUGGAGGCGUUUCGCUCUCCAUCAUCUCCGGACGAAGGUCCCCCGAAGAGGAGCUCUGCUGAGAAGGGCUGAGAUCCGAACUACAAGGUAAGAACUUCAGAAAUAAAAAUAGGGAUGUUCCUUAUUAGAAAACUCCCCUCUUUCUACUUACGGCUCGCUGGAGGGCUGAUUCCUUUGGGGAGACAGUGCGGCCAGGACUCCUCCCGGCACAGGACCUUCCGUUGCAGAUUUCUUCCCCCGCUUUGACGCCUUAGCCUCCGGGUCUUUGGAAGUGGUCCUCUUCUCCCCCUGGAGGGAGGGAUUCUUGAUUCCCCCCUCAUUGAGAGCCUCCUUAGCAGACGUGGUAGUUUCCCUGUUCCCCCCUUCGCCCUCCUCCGAAGGCGCAACCUCCAACAUCUUGACUAACACGGGAUCCGGCGUGGUCUCAGGGAGGGGGGCCGAACACCGUAUCAGUUUUGCUUGCGCUAUCCACUCCUGUUCAAAGGAUAGCUGGUUAAAAGGCAAAUCCAUGAUAAAUAGAUGGACGGUAUGUUCAGACACAGGACUACUUACUUGAGUAUCCGGGCGAUUGCAGCUUAGGCCGGCGUCCUCGGUCAAGUCCGGACACAUCUCUUGUGAUCCAAAGAACAGUUUAUCCGGAUUGAGUGUCGUACCCAUUAAGUGUUGAAGAGCUCGCGGUCACUCCAGAUUGAAUUCCCACAGGCAGAGGGGGCGACGUUUGCAGGGCAGAAGACGCCGAAUCAGUAUAACCUGCGUCACUACGACUAGAUUGAUCUCCCUCUCUUGGAGGUCUCGAAUCCGGCCCUGCAAUAUGGGUACGUCCUUGGACAGCCCCCAGUCAAGCCCUUUGUUGACCCAUGACAUCAGCCGUUGUGGAGGUCCCGAGCGAAAGGCGGGUGGCGGUCGUUGCCUGCUGCCCCUGGGAGCGGUGAUAUAGAACCACUCCUGUUGCCACAAGCCGAGCUCCUCCUGAAAAGAGCCCUUGGGCCAUGGAGCAUCGGCCCUCUUGCUUAUAACCGCCCCGCCGCACUCUGCCUGACGCCCCUCAAUCAUCUUCGGCUCCACGUUGAAGGUUUUGAGCCACAAACCGAAGUGAGGGGUAGUGUGGAGGAAGGCUUCGCAGACAACAAUAAAUGAUGAGAUGUGGAGGAUGGACUCCGGAGCCAAGUCGUGGAAUUCCAGCCCAUAGUAAAACAUGAGCCCCCUCGCGAAGGGAUCCAUCGGGAAGCCUAGACCCCGACGGAGGUGAGACACGAACACGACACUCUCGCCAGGCUUGGGAGUAGGAAUGACUUUCCCUUGGGCAGGCAACCUAUGCGAAAUCUCGUAGGUUAAGUACCUGGCGUCUCUCAGCUUUAGCACGUCCUCUUCCAUGACGGAGGAGGGCAUCCACCGGCCCUGUAGGUCGGAGCCAGACAUUGUCGAAGGCCUGGAGUGCCCGAAUCUGGAGCCCUGGGUGUUGGAACUCGGGGCGAGGGGCGGAUUCGAUUGAGGAUUGAAGAAGAAGAACGGGCCUUGGUCUCAUUAUAAAGAGGGAGAAUACCAAGAGCCGUCCCCAUGACCGUUUGGAACUCGCCUUCGAUGGAGGGGGCGUGGCAACGGGCAUGGUUGGGUUACCCACGUCCGUAUUGGUGGGAAUCCCGGAAUAAGGGGAACACAAUCUCUCCUUCGACAAGACGUGCCAAGGAAACCGCUUCGCUAAACGCGCUGAGGUGGUAUAAUAAAAACGAUUCGAGUAAAGGCUUGGUUGUGGUGUGACGUCUUGCCACAAAAUACGUCAGCAGAUUGAACUUGUGUAAAUAUUAUUCUCUCUACGGUGGUAUGUGGAAUUUAUUUUACAGAGCCGAACACUAUUCAGGUGUUCACAAUCUUCUAUGAAUUAUUCGGAGGAGGAACCCGCCUUGCAAUGCCGAAGACAAUAUGCGCGCCAGACUCGUCGUCAUUGAAUCCUGGUUCAGGGGCUACUGAGGGAGUCCUGGACUAGGGGGUGUCCGGAUAGCCGAAGUAUCAUCAUCGGCCGGACUCCAAGACUAUGAAGAUACAAGAUUGAAGACUUCAUCCUGUGUCCGGAUGGGACUUUCCUUGGCGUGGAAGGCAAGCUUGGCGAUACGGAUAUGUAGAUCUCCUACCAUUGUAACCGACUCUGUGUAACCCUAGCCCUCUCCGGUGUCUAUAUAAACCGGAGGGUUUUAGUCCGUAGAACAACAAUCAUACCAUAGGCUAGCUUCUAGGGUUUAGCCUCCUUGAUCUCGUGGCAGAUCCACUCUUGUACUACCCAUAUCAUCAAUAUCAAUCAAGCAGGAGUAGGGUUUUACCUCCAUCGAGAGGGCCCGAACCUGGGUAAAAACAUCAUGUCCCUUGUCUCCUAUUACCAUCCGCCUAGACGCACAGUUCGGGACCCCCUACCCGAGAUCCGCCAGUUUUGACACCGACACCCCUACUUUAUGUACAUUAAGUCCCUUGUAAUGGAAGACGGCUGGGGUCCUGGAGCACUCUAUAUAAGCCACUCCCCUCCUUUGAGACAAGGGUUCACACCCCCUGUAACAUCACACACAUAUAAUUCAAUCGACCGCCUCUGGGCACCGAGACGUAGGGCUAUUACUUCCUCCGCGAAGGGCCGGAACUCGUAAAUCCUGUGUGUACACCUUCACCAUAGCUGGGAUCUUGCCUCUCCAUACCUACCCCCCUUUCUACUGUCAGUCUUAGAACCACGACAGUAGCCCCCUCUCCAUUUCUAUCCCUCAGUUUGUCUCAAGGACUCCUCCUCGUCGGCGUGAGCUCUGGCGAAAUGCCGUCGCGUUCUGUUUCUCUCCCCUCCCCUCUCUCCUGACUGGUGGGGCCUGCUGCCAGCCUCUCCACUCGCACCUGAAGCGGUACGAGUGGAGGCGUCUUUGGCUUUACGCCAUCGACGUCGCCCCCCCUGGAUUUUCUGUUUAUUCAAAUUAAUUCAAAUAUUUUGACCAGAACUUUGACCUUGAAUAUCUCCUAGCCUAUGACUCCAAAUGAGUUGAUUCUUUUUGCAUUUGGUUUGUUACAAAAAACUCAAGCAGCACACCAAAGUGUGGGUUUUUCCUUGCUGCCUAGAAUUUCUAGUGAUUUUCAGAGUGGUUCUUGAUUUUUUUUGUGGUUUUUAAAUAUUUUCAGAAGGAGAGACUUGUCUUGAAGCUAUCUAGGAGGAGUGUGAACCUCCUCUGCACUAAGGCAAGCCACAAUAACAUUUGGAUGGUGUCAUCUCAAUGUCUAUGAUUUUCUACUUAAAUAUGAGCUUGUUUUCAUGCAUUUAAAAUAGUUAAAUAAUUAUGAUUAAAUGCUUAGUUACUUUAUCAUGCUUGUUAUGCUUGCUUUAGUUACUGGUUGAUUGCAUGUAGUAGUUUAAUCAAGUAGAUUAAAUAUUUUGGCUUAAUGAAAGUGCUUUGAUAAAUAACGGUAGUUUAUUUUGAUAAGUAAAUUUUCGUAUUAAAGAAGUGAGGUUUGAUAAUAACCAAUGUAGUAAUACCAAUAGUUUUGUUGAUGAGUAGUGCAAGAAAGUUAUUUCUUUGAUGUUGAUCCGUUCUUAUGAGUUGCAUCUUGAGCAUAUAGGGUAGUUGCAUGAUCAUGGCAUCAUAUGGCUUGUAGUGAGUUUAUUUUUGGUGCGACCACAUUUACCUUUAUGAGGGGUAUUGAUUCGGCCCUUUGUCAUGCCUCUUACCGGUGCCUCCAACGAGGGAAGGUUAUGGGCAUGAGGUACCCUUGCCCGGUAAGCAGAGAGAACCUUGUGCGCUCGUUUAUUUUUAUGGUACCUUGUCCCCGUUUGGGACCAUUUUGCCACGACGGUGGCCAAAGAUGCCUUUGGUAGGUAUGGGCCACCCAUGACUUAGCCCUGAGAGGGAGUGAGUUGGAGUGGCCGGGAGAGUGUCAUGGCAAGGAAAGGGUUUCGUCGGAACUCUGUGGUCCACCCGAAUGGGAAUGCGAGGCCCUUGAGUUCCGUAGUGUGGGUAAAGUGCGCUAACCUCUGCAGAGUGUAUUUUAAUCUAUCGAUAGCCGCGUCCUCGAUUAUGGACACAACUCGGUAGUAAGUCACACCAUGGAUCAACAAUUAUAAUUAAUCUUGCACACUUGAUAUUAUUGUGGCACUGGUUUCAUGAUGAGCUAUGGAUCAUGUGAUGAUCGUAAGUGAUUGGCGUCAGUUGUGAUCCGGGUAUGAUCACCGUUCGGUUACAGUGGUAAUCCGUCUAGUAAGCGAGUCCGAGGGACUCAGUGCACAUGUCGGUUUCAUUGCAUCCGUAGUAUCACUUGCAUUGCAUUAAACCUGAUUAAUUGUCAUGAUAUUGUUUGUCAUUGUCCUUAUGUUUGUUGUGAGCUUGCAAGUACAUUCAAUGUACUGACCCGGCGUGUCAUGCCAGCUUUCAGGCAAGACUGAUCGGAUCGGAGAGCAUCCCGCGUCUAGCAUCGUGUCCACGUCGGUGUCCCUGUAGUAUGGAGUUCCACUUUGUCUUUAUUCCGCUGCCGCGUAGUUGAUAUGAUCGAGGCCCUUUCAUGUUCAUUAAAUAAUGUACAUACUGUUCAGUUGCACUGUGUGUGCCGCUUGGCCUCUUAUCUCGAUGUAAUAUCAGACUUAUGUACCCGCUAGCAUCAAUAAAACGGUUGUUUCUGUACCAUGAUGUUGUGUGUUGCCAGAAUACUUGAUCUCUGGGCUGGCAAUGCAAGGUAAAUCGGUUGCUCUGAGCCGGGGUGCCACAAUGCUUGGUAGCAGAGCCGCACUAAUUGUAGGACAUGCUAGACCGUUAGUGCGUUAGUGAAACAGUAGAUAGUUGCGUCUGAGUGCGGUAGUCGUAGAAAUUGAUUGCUGCAUUGCAUGCCUAUUUAUUUGUUUUUAUUACUAAUCAUCUGGUGAUUGUGAGUGUAGAUGGCACCAGUUCCAAUCUUGUACCAUCCGGAUCCAGCUCCGUACACAUCGCCGCACCUGCUCAGAACGUGUGGCGACGACUCUAUCCAGAGGGCGCUGAUCCAGUGUAUGAGGUGUAUCAGGAGCAGCUGGUCGGUUCGUUGUAUGAGUAUUAUGCUGAGGUCACUCUACACCACAGUUCCCCUUCCGGCGCUUACACUCGUUCCUCUAAGGGUGGUUUCGCUUCUACGCCAUCUCAGGCAGUCCAGUUUGCUGCUAUCGAGGCUCUUGUAGACUUGCGCUGCAACAAGGUUCGCAUGCACACCCACCCAGGUUUUUACUACUACCCAUCUCUGCACGAGAAUGGGCGUAUUCACUUCCCUCUUAUUGAUCCGGCAUGUAAUCGUCCUUCUAGCCACCUUUCUCGCUAUAUCACUGCCACUUAUCUCUUGAUCUAUGAGUUAGCUCGAGAGCUAACCCGAGCUCGGAUAGCCCUUGCCGUAGCUCGGAAUAGGAACCCUCUACCCACUGUCGGUUUCACUCCAUACGUUCCUCCCACUUCUAGUACCCCGGCGACCACCCAGGGUACCACCAACCCUCUGGCAGUGACUCCUCGCAAUGCUCAUGAUGCGUGGUCUUCCAUUGUCGCUACUCCUGUAGCUCCCAUGCUUAGGUCCUAUCCCGCACCUGCCCCUUAGGGAGAGUCCUCGAGGCAGCGUCGUCGCGUUUCUUUUAAUUCGGAGGUCUCCACUAUCAGUUUAGGGUCUGAGUCUGGCUCAGGAGAGGAGCAUGCAGCAGCACCAUCCGAGCAGUAGAUCGCUAGAGUAUCAUCUUUGUCAUGAGUAUGAUGUAUGGAUGUAGUCGUACGUGUCAUGAUGUUUAGUUUCAUGUCUGAGGGUAGUGAACCCGUCAUGAUGUUACCUUUUAUGCUGAUUCUAUGUAUAAUUAUGUUGGAACCUUUUUAUUCGCCUUGGUUUCUUGUCACCGUGUUUUUCUGGGUUUGUCACUGGCUUUUUCCUCCCAUAUUGGAUAUUUCUCAUCACGGUUGCCUUGUAUUGGGAAAAUAAAUAAUAGGAUGGCGCGGGGAGGUAGCAGCAGCCAAGCUUGUGAGGAUGUCCCUGUUUGUCGCUCCACACGGCAAGCAGGACAUUCCCCCGAGCCAUACCAACCACCACCUCCACCGCCACAUCCGCCCUCCACUGAGCAGAUUAUGCGAAUGUUUGAAGAAAGAAGAAACAACGAUCUGAUGGAGAUGCUGAAAAGUGUGCAACUUAUGGUUGGACAAAAUGGAAAUCAAAAUGGUCAUUACUCCAAGCUAUCAGAUUUUCAAAGGACCAAGCCUCCCAGUUUCAGUCAAGCUGUUGAUCCAUUGGAAGCCGAUGAUUGGUUAAGGACCAUUGAGAGGAAGCUGGAAAUUGCUCGCACUAAAGAAGGAGACAAGGUUCCGUUCGCAACGCAUUAUCUCGAAGGAUCUGCCGCUAUAUGGUGGGAUAAUGCUAAAGCUAUGUGGCUCGCAGACGAGGAAAUUACGUGGACCAAAUUCAAGGAUCAUUUCUGCAAGUAUCUUAUACCCAUCGGAAUUAUGAAGAUCAAGCAGCGCGAGUUGCUCGCCCUUACUCAAGGAAGCAUGACAGUAAGUGAAUACCUGAAUAAAUUCAACCAUUUGGCCCGGUAUUCUCUCUAUGAUGUGGCCAUCAAAGAAAGGAAGGUCGACAGAUUCCUUGGCGGACUGAACCAGCACCUCAGAUGCACUCCCAGUAUGUUUGAUUUUCCGGACUUCCAAACUCUGGUGAACAAGGCCCUCAUCGCAGAAAGGGAACACAAGAUCAUGCACGACAGCAGGCCCGCAAAUAAUGAUCACAAGCGCAAAUUCGAGCCUAAGAAGGAUAUGCAACCAGUGCAGAAGGCUCGUACAUGGCAAUAGACUCAGGUGGAGCACAAACCCAACUGGCAGCAGAAUGUCAACAAGACCACUACUCAAGUCAAGAAUGUUGUUCCGGUGCGUGAAGAUUGUCAGUGCAACAACGUCUGUUUCAGCUGUGGACAAACCGGACAUUACGCUAGACAAUGUCCCAAGAACGGCAAACCAAUAGCCUCCUAUUGUCCACAAGUCAACCACCUAGAGUCAUAUUCUGACCCGAGGGCCAUCCAAGGCCAAAUCCAUCAUAUCUCCGCCGACGAAGCCCAAGAAGACCCGGAAGUCAUCAUUGGUAUGUUCCCUGUUAAUAGCAUACAUGCAGUAAUUUUAUUUGAUUCUGGGGCUUCCCACUCUUUUAUUUCGCGGAGUUUUGCUGCCCAAAACAAAUUUCCCUGCUCGAUUAUGGGCAAAAGUAUGAUGGUAUAAUCCCUGGGAUCGGUGCUCCGAAGUAAUCUGGUCUGCCGAAAUUUGGAAAUUGAGAUAAAGGGAGUCAAGUUUCCAACAGCUUUGAUAGUCAUUGAAUCUGAUAAAUUGGAUAUUAUUCUGGGAAUGAAUUGGUUGACCCAAUACCAAGUAUGCAUCAACUGUGCGACCAGAGAAGUCACCAUGGUAAAUCAGGAAGGUCGCAUCGCAAGUUUUUAUGCCCGCAGAAGUAUACCCAAGAAGGAUAUGGUAUUCUCAGCUAUGGCCGAAUAAGUGGAAUCAAUUCCUGUGGUCAGUGAGUAUCCAGAUGUAUUUCCUGAGGAAUUGCCAGGAAUGCCGCCAGACAGAGAAUUGGAGUUUGCUAGUGACUUGGUGCCUGGGACUGCACCGAUAUAUAAGAAAUAUUAUUGGAUGCCUUCGUCAGAAUUGGUGGAGUUAAAGAAACAGCUCAAUGAAAUGCUGCAGAAAGGAUACAUCUGUCCAAGCUCUUCACCUUGGGGAUCACCCGCUAUAUUCGUGGAUAAAAAGGACGGCAGUCUUCGAAUGUGUGUAGACUACCGAGAGUUGAAUGAUGUCACCAUCAAGAACAAGUAUCCACUGCCAGAAUUGAUGAUUUGUUUGAUCAACUCAGUGGGGCCAAAGUAUUCUCCAAGAUUGAUUUGAGGACCGGAUAUCAUCAACUCAAAAUCAGGAAGGAAGAUAUUCCCAAGACCGCGUUCACCACUCGGACGGUCUUUAUAAAUAUAUUGUUAUGUCAUUCGGUCUCACCAACGCCCCCGCCUUUUUCAUGCAUAUGAUGAAUAAGGUGUUUAUCGAUUUCUUGGAUAAGUUUAUGGUGGUGCUCAUCGAUGAUAUCCUCAUUUAUUCAAAAAGCAAAGAAGAGCACAAGGACCACCUCCGAGUAGUGUUGCAAAGACUCUGUGUUCAUCAGCUUUAUGCAAAGUUCAGCAAAUGUGAAUUUUGGCUCUACCAAGUGGGAUUUCUGGGGCAUAUUUUCUUAGCUAAAGGUAUCGCCGUGGAUCCAAGUAAAGUGAAAGAUGUGCUUGAUUGGUCCGCACCCACGACAGUCUCAGAAAUCUGGAGUUUCCUUGGAUUAGUCGGGUAUUAUCGUCGUUUUAUCAAAGGAUUCUCUAAGAUUGCCAAGCCAAUGACAGAGCUCCUAAAGAAGGAUAAGAAGUUUAUAUGGACUGAGGACUGCGAAAGGAGCUUCAACAAGUUAAAAACCAGGCUGACAUCUACGCCAGUAUUGACUCUUCCCGACAUCUACCGCAGUUUUGAUGUCUACUGCGAUGCAUCCAGGAAAGGACUCGGAUGUGUCCUCAUGCAAGAUGGCAAGGUUGUGGCCUAUGCAUCUCGACAACUACGGCCUCACGAAGGAAAUUACCCAACUCAUGAUUUGGCAUUGGCUGCGGUGGUGCAUGCCUUGAAGAUUUGGAGACACUAUCUGAUUGGAAAAAGGUGUCAAAUAUUUACAGACCACAAGAGUCUCAAGUAUAUAUUCACUCAACCGGACUUAAACCUCCGUCAGUGAAGAUGGCUUGAGUUGGUUAAGGAUUAUGACCUCGGGAUAAAUUAUCACCCGGGUAAAGCUAAUGUGGUAGAAGAUGCCCUCAGCCGCAAGCCCGUCAGCCUGAAUGCUCUACUGGAUACAUUGCAUCCCAAACUUUGUGAAGAAACGACCCAACUCAAUUUUUCAAUAGUGGAUGCCCGUAUGGCCAGCAUAUUGGAAUUGGCUCCUACUCUCGAGGAAGAAAUUCGCAGUGCUCAAGCACAUGACGAUUCACUGCAAUCAUAUGCCAAGCCGACCAAGGGUUUCUCUAAGGAUCAAAACGGUACGCUGAGGUUUCGAGGAAGGAUUUGCGUACCCAACCAAGAAAGUCUGAAAAAAGAAGAUAUUAUCAGAAGCCCAUGAAUCUUCGUACUCGAUUCACCUAGGUGGCACCAAAAUGUAUGAAGAUCUCUGUCAGGUAUUCUGGUGGGAAGGAAUGAAUAAAGACAUCGCUUACUUUGUAGCUUGUUGCGACAUAUGCAAUAAGGUGAAGGCGGAACAUUAGAAGCCCGCCAGACUCCUUCAACCUUUGCCCGUAUCACAAUGGUAAUGGGACGAUGUCUGCAUGGACUUCAUCACCGGCUUACCAAAGACACACCGAAGGAAUGACGCAAUAUGGGUCAUCGUGGAUACCUUAACCAAGGUGGCUCAUUUUCUGCCUACCCGGACCACUUACCGUGUCAAUCAACUUGCACAAUUAUAUGUGUCCAGGAUCGUCACUUUGCAUGGCGUACCAAGGACCAUCACUUCCGACAGAGGAUCUCUCUUCACUUCAGCCUUGUGGUCCCGUCUACAUCAAGCCUUGGGGACUGCCCUAAAAUACAGCACAGCUUAUCAUCCACAGAUAGACGGACAGACCGAGCAUGUAAAUCAAAUACUCGAAGAUAUGCUCUGAGCAUGUGUAUUGUCCGAAGGACCUAAGUGGGAAGACUAUCUGCCGUACGCUGGGUUUUCCUACAACAACAGUUUCCAGACCAGUUUGAAGAUGUCACCAUAUGAAGCUCUGUAUGGCCGUAAGUGCCGCACUCCACUGAACUGGUCUCAAACCAGAGACAGUCGUAUCUUCAUAACAGACCUAAUGAUGGAAGCUGAGAAGCAAGUCAACGAGAUCCGAGACAGACUGCAGUUGGCCAAGUCACGACAGAAGAGUUACUAUGAUGCCAAGCACCGUCACAUCAGAUUUGAACUAGGAGAACGCGUGUAUCUCCGAGUCACCCUGAUGAAAGGAAUUAAGAGGUUUCAGACACAGGGCAAGUUGGCACCCAGAUACAUUGGCCAAUUCCCAGUCAUGAACAAAGUUGGAGCAGUUGCUUAUCAAUUGGAGUUGCCACCAGAACUGUCAGAGGUACACAAUGUGUUUCAUGUAUCCCAGCUGAGAAGAUGUAUCUCGCCACCGGAGAAAAAGACUGAUAUGGCAGAGAUAGAACUGGCUAAGGAUCUGACAUAUGAGGAAAGACCAGUGAAAAUAUUGGAUAAGACAGAAAGAGUCACUCGCAGCAAAGUAAUCAGGUUUUUCAAAGUUCAAUGGGAGCACCAUACCGAGGAAGAGGCAACCUGGGAAAGAGAGGAAUUUUUAAGGACUACUUACCCAGAACUAUUUUCCCAAGCAACUGAAUCUCGAGGACGAGAUUCAUCCAAAGUGGGGGAUGUUUGUGACAGCCUGGUUUUUGCCUUCUCUCUUUUUCCGGACUUGGUUUGCAUUUGCCUUGGUUUUGAGUUUUUAGAAUCAAUUCAAAUGGACUAGUCACUUGGGCAGGCCCUUGACUUUCACCCAAGUGACCCAUCUGCGUCUCAUCCAACUCCAUUUCUUUUUAAAACCCUAGAAUGGCCCAUUGAAUAUUUUUCAUAAGUGAAAAUAUUCGUUUUCUUUCUGAAACCUCAUUUCAGAAAUUAGGGCUCCAAAGCAACCCCAAUUUUUAUACCUCCAAAAAUCCCAAGAUAAUUCCUGAAGUUUCAUUGAACCUUGGGCCACCUCCCUGAGUAAAAAUAUUGCAUGACUUUUUGUAACAUUUUUGCUACAGAAAAUCUUUUCCUUUCUGGCCCAAAAAUGCACUUUGUACAACAAGUGCGUUUUUCCUUAAUCUUUUGGAGCUGAUCUUUCUUGAGCUUAAACACCCUCCUAAGAAACCCUUAACCCUAGGAGAUCAGCCCUAAUGGCCUUCUAGAAGCUAGCCAAACUUGGCGACCAAGUUUCUGUCCAAAAACUUGCCAGCAAGCUUGAGUCACUUCUGGUCAGCCUGGGUUUGAGUUUUCACCUUUCUUAGACCUAACACUGCAUGUACUUUAGCCCAGACAAGGUUUGGCAGCGUUUGGGCGUCGUUUUGGCAAUGCCAGGGCGGUGACCGCGUGUGGACACGGGGCCUAGCAUGCGUUCGACGCGCUCUGCGUCGCGCCAGUGCCUCUGUUCGGCACGUGCCCGAGCCAGAGCUCGGCGAUGACUGCCGCACCGUGCCACCCCCUUCGCCUCAUCACCCUUGACCUCUCCCUAGCGCUCGCCGAUGCCGGAGAUGUUGCAGCGAGCACGGGCGCGUCGCGGCCAAAAGCCACAGUGCACCCGUGCCCCUGUCUUCUUCUCCCCCUCCUCCCUGUGCUCAUCUACGAGCGUGGACAGCCUCCACGUGAUCGCUGAGCUUCUCUCACCCUCGCUGACGCCUCUCGUCACCUCUCGUCGUCUUCCAGAGAACUUCGGUGGCGACACGUACCCCCUUCCCCCUCCGGCUAUAAAUUGAGCCCUCCCCUCCAUUCCAGAGCAACCCACAGCACCAUCCAACCUCCACACACACACGCAACCCGUCCGGCCAGACCUCUGGCCGCCGUGCCCGACCUGAGCUCGCGGGCGACACCCUUAGCUCAGCCACCCCGUCCCCGACCUCCUGGAGCCCAACCAACCACCUAGGCACGUCCCUAGAGCCCCUUUUGUGUCGUCCCGAAGCCGCAGAGCCCCUAGAACAGCCCCUCGUUGUCGCCUUCUUCCUCUUCGGCAAGACCCGACCGCCGCCGCCGCUUGCGAGGUUGAUUGCGAGCAGCUCCAGCCAUCUCUCAUCGUCCCACGAGUACAAGCAGGUGCGCCGUAGCCCCCUCUCCAUUUCUAUCCCUCCAGUUUGGCUCAAGGACUCCUCCUCGCCAGCGUGAGCUCCGGUGAAACACCGCCGCGUUCUAUUUCUCUCCCCCUCCCCUCUCUCCUGACCAGUGGGGCCCACUGUCAGCCUCUCCACUCGCACCUGAAGCGGUACGAGUGGAGGCGUCUUUUGGCUUGACGCCAUCGACGUCACCCCCUUGGAUUUUCUGUUUAUUCAAAUUAAUUCAAAUAUUUUGACCAGAACUUUAACCUUGAAUAUCUCCUAGCCUAUAAGUCCAAAUGAGUUUAUUCUUUUUGCAUUUGGUUUGUUAUAGAAAACUCUAGCAACACACCAAAGUGUGGACUAUUCCUUGCUGCCUAGAAUUUCUGGUGAUUUUCAGAGUGGUUCUUGAUAUUUUGUUUUGUGGUUUAAAUAUUUUCAGAAGGAGAGACUUGUCUUGAAGCUAUCCAGGAGGAGUGUGAACCUCCUCUGCACUAAGGCAAGCCAUAAUAACAUUUGGAUGGCAUCAUCUCAAUAUCUAUGAUUUUCUAAUUAAAUAUGAUCUUGUUUUCAUGCAUUUAAAAUAGUUAAAUAAUUAUGAUUAAAUGCUUAGUUACUUUAUCAUGCUUGUUAUGCUUGCUUUAGUUACUGGUUGAUUGCUUGCAGUAGUUUAAUCAAGUAGAGUAAAUAUUUUGGCUUAAUGAAAGUGCUUUGAUAAAUAAUGGUAGUUUAUUUUGAUAAGUAAAUUUUCAUAUUAAAGAUAAAUGACUAAAAGUGAGGUUUGAUAAUAACCAGUGUAGUAAUACUAGUAGUUUUGUUGAUGAGUAGUGCAAGAAAGUUAUUUCUUUGAUGUUGAUCCGUUCUUAUGAGAUGCAUCUUGAGCAUAUCGGGUAGUUGCAUGAUCAUGGCAUCAUAUGGCUUGUAGUGAGUUUAUUUUCAAGUUAAACAUGAAAAUAAUCCAACAUGAAUAUUAAGUUGAUCAAUUCAUGGUGCCUCUAAAUCGGGUUCUUUUCAGUGCGACCACAUUUACCUUUAUGGGGGAUCUUGAUUCAGUCCUUUGUCAUGCCUCUUACCAGUGCCUCCAAUGAGGGAAGGUUAUGGGCAUGUGGUACCCUGGCCCGGUAAGUAGACAUAACCUUGUGUGCUCGUUUGUUUUUAUGGUACCUUGUCCCUGUUUGGGACCGUUUUGCCAUGAUGCUGGCCGAAGAUGCCUUUGGUAGGCAUGGGCCACACAUGACUUAGCCCUGAGAGGGAGUGAGUCAGAGUGGUCGGGAGAGUGUCAUGGCAAGGGAAGGGUUUCGUCGGAACUCCGUUGUCCACCCAAAUGGGAGUGCGAGGCCCUUGAGUUCCGUAGUGUGGGUAAAGUGCAAUAACCUAUGCAGAGUGUAUUUUAAUCUAUCGAUAGCCGCGUCCUCGGUUAUGGACACAACUCGGUAGUAAGUCACAUCGUGGAUCAACAAUUAUAAUUAAUCUUGCACACUUGGUAUUAUUGUGGCACUGGUUUCAUGAUGAACUGUGGAUCAUGUGAUGAUCGUAAGUGAUUGGCUUUAGUUAUGAUCCGGGUAUGAUCACCGUUCGGUUACAGUGGUAACCCGUCUAGUAAGCGAGUCCAAGGGACUCGGUGCACAUGUCGGUUUCAUUGCAUCCGUAGUAUCACUUGCAUUGCAUUAAACCUGAUUAAUUGGCAUGAUAUUGUUUGUCAUUGUGCUUAUGUUUGUUGUGAGCUUUCAAGUACAUUUAAUGUACUGACCUGGCGUGUCAUGCCAGCUUUCAGGCAAGACUGAUCGGAUCGGAGAUCAUCCCGCGUCUAGCAUCGUGUCCAUGUCGGUGUCCCUGUACUAUGGAGUUCCACUUCGUCUUUAUUCUGCUACCGCAUAGUUGAUAUGAUCAAGGCCAUUUCAUGUUCAUUAAAUAAUGUACAUACUGUUCAGCUGCACCGUGUGUGCCUCUUGGCCUCUUAUCUUCAUGUAAUCAGAAUUAUGUACCCGCUAGUAUCAAUAAAGCGGUUGUUUUCUGUACCAUGAUGGUGUGUGUUGCCAGAAGACUUGAUCUCUUGGCUGGCAAUGUAGGUAAACCGGUUGCUCUGAGCUGGGGUGCCACAUAGUUUGCUAUUUAUUUUUCCCAAAAAUCAUUUCUAGGUACAAAAGUAUCUAUUUAAUCAAAGAAACACCAAAAGUUUCCAAGAUUCAACCACUAGCUAGGAACGGUCAUGCCCGUAGUUUUGACCGCAUUUUGAAACGGGCAUGAAAAAUUCAAAAAAAAAUCAAAAAUUGGGAAACCUUCGCAUUGUGUCAUUGUAUGUGGCCAAGUUACUAGGAAAAAUAAUUAACUUGUAAUACGACAAUUAUUUAAAAAAGUGUUCUCAGAAACGAGCUAUCACAUGUGGAGAUCAAUGGCUUUCAAGCCAAAUGAUCAAUCUUAUGGCCAUAUUCAUGGCAUAGUUUGUUCAAAUGAUCUCAUAUUGUGCACAAGGGUGCAUAUUGGAUGGCAAACAAUGUUGCCUAAGGAAGUUUUCAUUUUCUUCGGACAAAAAAAUCAUUUUCCAUUUUUCGAGCAUCCAAAAUGAGUUUUUUUAAGAACCUACCAAAUAAUUGUUGCAAAAUUGGACCAAAUCAAUUUUAUAAACUACUAGGCCAUAUGUAAUGCACAAUUGACUAAAUGGUUGGGUGUGAAAAGCUUUUAUCCACCUCUUGUGAAAAAGACAAAUUUCCGCCGAUUCAGUAGGAAGCGGGUCAAAUUUGAACUGCAGCUGCCUUAUAGUUUGCUAUUUAUUUUUCCCAAAAAUCCUUUUUUAGGUACAAAAGUAUCUAUUUAAUCAAAGAAACACCAAAAGUUUUCCAAGAUUCAACCACUAGCUAGAACGGUCAUGCCCGCUGUUUUGACCGCAUUUUGAAAUGGGCAUGAAAAAUUCAAAAGAAAAACAAAAAAUUGGGAAAACCUCCGUAUUGUGUCAUUAUAUGUGCCCAAGUUACCAGGAAAAAUAAUAAACUUGUAAUACGGCAAUUAUUUUGAAAAGGUGUUCUCGGAAACGAGCUAUCAUGUGUGGAGAUCAAUGGCUUUCAAGCCAAAUAAUCAAUCUUAUGGCCACAUUCAUGGCAUAGUUUGUUCAAAUGAUCUCAUAUUGUGCACAAGGGUGCAUAUUGGAAUGGCAAACAAUGUUGCCUAAGGAAGUUUUCAUUUUCUUUGGACGAAAAAAAUCAUUUUCCAUUUUUGAGCACCCAAAAUGAGUUUUGUUAUGUGAAGAACCUACCAAAUAAUUGUUGCAAAAUUGGACCAAAUCAAUUUUAUAAAAUACUAGGCUAUAUUUAAUGCACAACUGACCAAAUGGUUGGAUGUCAAAAGCUUUUAUCCACCUCUCGUGAAAAAGACAAAUUUCCGCUGAUUUAGUAGGAAGCAGGUCAAAUUUGAACUGCAACUGCCUCAUAGUUUGCUAUUUAUUUUUCCCAAAAAUAAUUUUUAGGUACAAAAGUAUCUAUUUAAUCAAAGAAACACCAAAAUUUUUCCAAGAUUCAACCACUAGCUAGGAACGGUCAUGCCCGCUGUUUCGACCGCAUUUUGAAACGGGCAUGGAAAAUUCAAAAAAAAUAAAAAUUGGGAAACCUUCGCAUUGUGUCAUUAUAUGUGGCCAAGUUCCCAGGAAUAAUAAUAAACUUGUAAUACGACAAUUAUUUAAAAAAAUGUUCUCAGAAAUGAGCUAUCACGUGUGGAGAUCAAUGGCUUUUAAGGCAAAUGAUCAAUCUUAUGGCCACAUUCAUGGCAUAGUUUAUUCAAAUGAUCUCAUAUUAUGCACAAGGGUGCAUAUUGGAAUGACAAACAAUGUUGCCUAAGAAAGUUUUCAUUUUUUGGAAGAAAAAAUCAUUUCCAUUUUUCGAGCACCCAAAAUGAGUUUUUUUGUGAAGAACCUACCAAAUAAUUGUUGUAAAAUUGGAUCAAAUCAAUUUUAUAAAAUACUAGGCCAUAUUUAAUGUACAAUUUACCAAAUGGUUGGGUGUCAAAAGCUUUUAUCCACCUCUCGUGAAAAAAGACAAAUUUCCGCCGAUUCAGUAGGAAGCGGGUCAAAUUUGAACUGCAGUUGCCUCAUAGUUUACUAUUUAUUUUUCCAAAAAAUCAUUUUUAGGUACAAAAGUAUCUAUUUAAUCGAAGAAACACCAAAAAAAUUCCAAGAUUCAACCACUAGCUAGGAAGUCAUGCCCGUCAUUUUGACUGCAUUUUGAAAUGGGCAUGAAAAAUUCAAAAAAAUUAAAAAAUUGAGAAACCUUCGCAUUGUGUAAUUAUAUGUGGCCAAGUCCCAGGAAAAAUAAUAAACUUGUAAUACAACAAUUAUUUUUAAAAAGUGUUCUCAGAAACGAGUUAUUACGUGUGGAGAUCAGUGGCUUUCAAGCCAACUAAUCAAUCUUAUGGCCACAUUCAUGGCAUAUCUCAUAUAGUGCACAAGGGUGUAUCUUGCAAUGACGAACAAUGUUUCCUAAGGGAGUUUUUAUUUUCUUUGGAUAAAAAAAUAAUUUCCCAUUUUUUAGUGCCUAAAAUGGGAUUUUUUUUGUGAAGAACCUACCAUAUAUUUGUUGCAAAAUUGGACCAAAUCAAAUUUCUAAAAUACUAUGCCAUAUUUAAUGUACAAUUGACCAAAUGGUUGGGUGUAAUUUUUUUUUGAUCCACCUCUCGUGAAAAAGGAUAAAUUCUGGCAUAUUCAUUUUCCAUUUUUCGAGUUUCCAAAAUGAGUUUUUUUGUGAAGAACCUAACGUAUAUUUGUUGUAAAAAAACUUCUCCACUUUUCAAGAAUAUAUACCACAUUUUAUGAACAAAUUUGUGUACACUAGAAACAUUUUUUAUAGAUAUUAAAUGGUUUUUAGUUACAUCAUUAACAUUUUUAAUAAAUAUUUUGAUGUCUAAUAUUUUGAAUACAUGUCUACAUUUUUUAAGACACUUUGUACAUAUUAUUUAUAUAUGUUUAACUUUUUUCACAUACAUGAUUAACAUAUUUUCAUAUAUUCCCAACAAAAAAGCAUAUUUUCAUACAUACGUUUUGAUAUCUAUUUUUUUUACACAUUGUACAUUUUUGUAUACAUAUAAAACAUUGUUGAUAUUGGUUAGAAAAAUUUAAGUACAUGAUUAACAUUUUUAGAAAAAUUUAAAUACAUGAUUAACAUUGUUGAUAUUGUUAUUUUCCCAUUUUCGUAGGGCCGAAUAUAUCUUUUUUUAGUAAUAUGAGGGCAUCCCACAUUUCUUCCUCGAUAGGCCAAGGCCUACAUGGCACAUAGAUUUUUUUUUUAAAAGGAGGUGGCCUCGUUUCACCUAGGCCCAAGCCCACCUUGAGCGACACAUCAAGUACCAAUGCAUCCAUGUUCACAACCUCAUGACCAUUUAUAUUGGUCGUAAUCGGGUAGAAAUAAGGUUGUGGACCACUCUUGUCUGCUUUAUGACCAUUUGGUGUAAGGCAAUUUCAGAGUUUGAGCCCUUCCAAGCGAAAUGGCCGUGGAUUUACGACCAAUUCAGCUGGGGUCACUAAGAGAAGGUCACAAGUUGACAUAUUUCUUGCAGUGACCCUUCGUUCAAUGACCGAUAUCGAAAUCGUGGAUGUCCAUAUCUAUCCCUAUGAGUGCAGGAAUGAAAUUCAAGUGAACCUUUGGUUAUCAUGUGAUAUUCCCUUUUCUUCAUGAUACUUCGCAAAAGCAGGGAUGCAUCGUUAUCCUCCUGAGUCAUCACAUGCUCAUUAUACCGUUAUCCUCGUUACCGGUUUUAUUCUUCUUUCUCGUUGUUGUGUUCCGGCAUCCCCGUGACGUAGUCACCUAUGUCUGGCCAGACGAUGAUGGAUGUCGUCACACCGAGAGGGCACUAAAAAUAUCUCUCCAUCGUCGAAGGAGCAAAUCUCCCUUGUCACUUUUCGAUGAACCUGUAACUUGUCGUUAUGAUAACCGUGUUACAAGUGAUGUUUGAGCAACCCCAAAGUCCAUCGUACGGUAAUAAUGACUACGGUACUCUCAUGGUGUAAGGAUAAAAAUCACAUGUUAACACUCCGUGUUAUUACAAUUCAUUACACACGAUAUUAUCUCAAUUCAUAUAAAACAAGUUUGGGUCGAUUCAAUAUGAUCGUUCUUCCAAUGUCAUAAUCUCAAUGUUGUUUUAGAACUACCGUUACACGUAACAAUACCCAAAGAGCCGGAAAACGUGAUCACCAACAACACUUGAGCUAGUCUUAGAGGUGAGACUAUGAAAUUUCAUUUUAUUCGUUUAUCAUUUCACACGUGCAUUGAAAUUUCCACUGAACCGCAUAUUUCAGGAUUAUAGAAGUUAUAGCAUGAAAUAUAGACACUUAUUUAUGAAUAUGGAAAUAUAAUAAUACAAUAUUAUUGCAUCUAGGGAUAAUUUCCAACAGACACGAGGACGACGACGAGCUGCAUCUCGGAGGAGUCCCCGAUGCUACAACCGACAAGGCGGCAAGCUGGAACCAGCACGGCGACGAACUAGAAACGAUGGCGGCAAAUGCUACAAUCCACAUAUAGUGAGCUGGAACGGGAGCCCCGAUGUUGCAACCAUCACGACGGUGAGCCGGAGCUGAAUGCAACCAGACGCGGCGAGCAAGCAACCGUGGUGGGGCGACGAUGUCAAGCAUCGGCGAGCGGUGGUUCAACCGGUGGCAAUUUCGGCCAUGAGCGCGCUGGUUGCAAUUUUUAUGCGAGCGGAACGAUGCUCUGGUGGUGCCGGGCUAUGCAGGGGAGGUUGGGGAACACCUGCUUCGUGUUGACUCUUUUUUGUUACGGGGGACCACUGAUCCAAUAGUUGUUACACACUCAAUCAUGUGGAUGUGGUGCAACCGACCGAGUUUUCGGCCGUUGACCGGCGCCUAGCGCCAACCCAUGUAUGGGCGGGAGACACCAUGCUUUUUUCAAAAAAAAAAUCACUUCUUUUUUGUUUAAAAUAAUUCAGGACUUUAAGAAAGUUCAAAACCUAAAAAAACUUGCGUAUUUCAAAACAAAUGUUUCAAGAAUUCAUAAAAUGUUCAUGAAUUCAAAAAAUAUUCAUGUUUUUUAAAAAUAUUCAGGAAAUCAUAUAACAUCGUGGAUUCGAAAAAUGUUUGAAAUUUCAAAAAAAUGUAUAGAAAAUCAAAAAAAGUUCAUGAUUUUAAAAGGAGUUCACGUAUUAAAAAAAGGCCAUGAAUUAGGAAAAAAAUCAUGAAUUAAAAACUGUUCAUAAAUUUUUCAACAAUGUUCACAAAUUUCAAAAAUAUUCGUGAAUUUCAAAAAUUGUUCCCAAGUUUCAAAAACUAUAUUAUUAAGUCUAAAACGGUUAGCCGAUUCAACAAAUGUUCAUGAAUUUCAAAAUUGUUUCCGAAAUAAAAAAAUUGUCAGUUGAAAAUUAAUCAAAUAAAAAAAUAUUCACAACUUUGAAAAAUAUAUUCAUAAUUUCAAGACUGUUUUGAAUUUGAAAAAAGCAUUAUUUCAAAAAUUAUUUACAAUUUUAGUGUUUGCAAAUUUAUAAAUAAUGUUGGAGAAUUAAAAAAUAAUCAUGAUUUCAAAAAAAAUCAUUAUUUCAAAAACAUAAUCACGGGUUGAAGCAAUGUUCAUAAUUUCAAAAAAAUCAUGAAUUUUAAAGAUGCCGCAAAAAAUAGAAAAGGGAAUAAAAAAGAAAAAGGGAAGAAAAGAGGAAAAUUAAAUCAAAAUAAAAAACAUGAAAAAAAGGAAAAUCAACAAAGAAAGAAAAUGAAAAAAGAAAGGGAAGAAUGAAAAUGAAAAAAUAUCCAAAGAAAACACGCUCACAAAAAAAAGGUUCAUUGGGUGUCCAAAAGUAUGCAACGGGGAGCGGUGUUUGAGCGUUUGGUCGCUAUCCUGCGAGGCAAUAGGCCGCUACGCCUAAAGGACGCAUGUGAUUGGCCUAGCAUAGACCUGCGCAUGGAUAGCCCGGCCCAAAAGCCCGACAUCUGGACCGGGCUCGGGUUUAGCUUUCCCGCCUGAAAGCCAGCACAAAAUCUCAAAAAUAAGCCCGAACAUGGCAUAAAUCAUUAUUUUAUUAGAAAUAUAGGUACAAUGUAUAUUUUAAAUACCCCAAAAUCAGUAUUUUAAUAAAUAAGUGCACUAUUCUUGUGUUUUGUGCCGGGCUAGGCCAGGCUCGGGCUUGUGAUUUUGAGGUCGGAACCAAGCCCGACCCGGAGAAUGCCUAGGUUUAGCCUAGCGACAUCAGUCAUCAUGCUAAUGUCACUUCCAUUUUUUCUCCUCUUUUUUUAUUUUCAUCUUAUUUUAUAUGCAUAUACAAUUAUUUUAAAGACAUAAAUUUAGUUAAGAAAUUCAAAACCACGAAUUUGAAAAAAUGUUAACAUAGUAUACAAUUUGUUUGCUCGGUUCUUAGAAGAUGUGAACAAUUUAAAAAAAACCGUGAGAAUGAAAAAAUGUUGCUUUGUUUCAAAAAAUAUAUGCCCAAUUUUUUGAAAUUGUUCAUUCAAUGUAAAAUAAAUAGAUUAGAAAUAGCCUUUGAUUUGCUGAUCCAACUGAAAUCGCAGCCUUUGGUUUGUUGAUUACUACUGUAUAGAUUAGAAAGUACUAGCGCCAACGACGUAAAAAAAAACGCGCCAACUGUUGUUCCGAAAAGCAUCGGAUUGGAUUUGGAUUUAAAGGGGACGACUCACCGGCGGGUUCGCAACCCUAGUUUUCGAUCUGAUCCUUCCCCGAUCUUCGCCGCCCAUCUUCCCAACUUCCCCCCAUCUCGAGUUUGCGCGCACUCCGGCGAACAUGGCAGCGAUCAUGGCGGGGCGCGGGCAGGGGCUGGAGCAAGAUUUCGAUUUCUUCGUGGUGGUCGACUUCGAGGCGACGUGCGUCCAAGACGCGCGGAUCUUCCCCCAGGAAAUCAUUGAGUUCCCUGCCGUGCUCGUCGACGGCGCCACCGGCCGCAUCGAGUCCGUCUUUCGCAGGUACGUUCGUCCAAAACAUCACCCUGUGCUGACCCAGUUUUGCAGGGAACUCACCGGCAUCCGGCAGGAGGACGUCGACGGCGGCGUGGAUCUCGGCGAGGCGCUCUGGCUGCACGACGCUUGGUUGAAGGCGGCGACGGCGGGGGCAGGGAACAAGAGACGCGUCCGCUUGGCCGUCGUGACAUGGGGGGACUGGGAUUGCCGGACCAUGCUCGAGUUCGAGUGCCGCUUCAAGGGCAUCGAGAAGCCCUCGUACUUCGGUCAGUGGAUCAAUCUGAGAGUCCCCUUCCAGGCGGCGCUCGGUGGCGGAGGGCGGGUCAACCUGCAGGAAGCGGUCCGGGCGGCGGGGCUGGACUGGGAGGGCCGCCUGCACUGCGGGCUGGACGACGCGCGCAACACCGCGCGGCUGCUUGCUGAUCUCAUGCGGCGCGGGGUCAAGAUCAACAUCACCGGCUCGCUGGCGCCGCCGCCGCCGAUGCAGAAGCAGCCGGCUCGCACAAGCCUUUGCGGUGGCUCACCGGCGCUGGCGUCGGCGCCGUCGCCGAGCCGCCUCGCACAGGCCCUUUCGGUGGCUCGUUUGCACUGGUGCCGGCGCCGAUCCAGCAGAAGCAGCAGCCGCCGCAGCCACACAUAAUCAACCCCUGCGGUGGCUCCUCUGCGCCGUGCUUCUGGUACUGCGGCGUGGCGAGCAGAGGAGGCAUGGAGCCAGGGCCGACGCAGUCUGGAUGCGGCAACUGGACGCCGGCCAUGGGACCCUACUUCCUGUGGAGCAACUGAACCCAGUGUCGCUCAGCUGCUAGUGUUGAUCGUCCUAGCCAUCAGAAUCUGUCUAGUCUAGGUGUAAAUUUGGUCAUUGAAAUCGAACUUGACCAAUAGGGCUAUUCUUGAUGUAAUCGGUGUCUGAAUUAGUAUUAUCAAUAGAAAUUUCGUUUUAGUUAUGUUCCUUCUCCGCGAAUUUCUGAGACAACAGAAAAUUCAGAUCAGGAAAAACAACCAACUGUGGAUUUCUGAGAUAAGAGCACAAAUGCCUCAUCAUAUUGGAAAAAACAACCUUGUAUCCAAAAUAAUUUCCUUGAACACAAAUGCCUCAACUAUACUCCUAGUCUAUCAGUUAUUGUUCACUGAAAUCGAACGUGACCAAUGGGGCUAUUCUUGAUGUAAUUGGUGUCUGAAUUAUUAGUAUCAAUACAAAUUUCCUUUUAAAUACUACUCCCUCCGUCCCAUUAACUCCGUCUCAUUAAGACUUUUUGACACUCGUGUAGUGUCAAAAAGCGUCUUAUAUUAUAUGGGACGGAGGGAGUAGUAAUAAUAGAAGAUUUGUUUUGCCUUCUCUAUGGAUUUCUUCAGUGCCGAGCAACGGGGCCAACGAUUGACUUGUAAGUGACGUUAAUAAAUUUCUGAUGAAGGCUACAAUCCCAAUCGACAGCGCAAACUUGUAAGCUGUCCUCAGAUGAAGCCCCCUGCUCGUCCGAGGGGCUGCUCGCCGGACGGGGCAUCCAUCACGUCGGCCAAAGACAUGGCGGUAACGACCGACCCCAUGAGGUAUGGUCUCUCUCCAAGGCACAUUCGUCAGCACCGAACAAGACAAUGUUGACAACUUGCCAUCUUGCCGCAUAUCACCAUCAUAUAUGCAACAUUAUAUCAAGAUUGAAAAAUAAAACAGCCAACUGUAGAUUUCCGAGAUAAGAGCUAAUUCAAAUCAUUUGCUCCAACACAAAUGCCAACGCUUGUCAAGCUCUUACAUAAACGCCAUACAUUAUCAGUCACAAAACGAAAACUUGGUUACAAGCACACCACAACCGUUGUUGCUGGCCAAUCAAGUCUCCCCUCUGCAGACCAGCAGGUAGCAUCACAGCCAAACACAAAGGAAGGACUAACCAGUAACCAUGGUUUGGGUGAGUCGGUAACAAGGUGCUCAAAGACUAGCAAAAUCUACUGCCUAAGGAGGGGAACAAGCUACUCUGCGCUACCAUAGCCCUUGGUUUCUACUGCAAGGGCUAUAUCAACCACCUAGAGAAGUUGUCGCAGACCACCUGAAGUGCGCCUUCAGGCCAAUAAAACCAAGGUUUGCUGUUAGCAUCACACCAGCUGAUGUGAAUGUGCAUAGAAAUUU